GGGGAAAGAAAGUUNNNNNNNNNNNNNNNNNNNNUAUAUAUAUAUAUAUAUAUAUAUAUAUAUAUAUAUAUAUAUAUAUAUAAGGCCUUUCAAAGAUAUUAGGACCUCUAGUAGUCACAACGAGUGAUUAACUUCCUUUCAUAAUUUUUUUUUUUUUCAUAUUCCAACAGUAGGAUUACAAAUUCAUUCAAGUCAAGAAUCCUACUUAGAGAUCUACUAGUUAAGUGGAUCUUAAUAAAACAUGCAUGACAAACCACUGCAUUAUAAAAUAUAAGACCCUGGAAAAGAUAAAUUAACUCCUAUUCAUCCAUUAAAAAUAUAUAUAUAUACUGAAAACAGGGAAUCAAAUGCUAAUCUCAAGUUUAAGGAAAUCCAGUUAAAUGCAUAAGAUGAUAAAAAGUUAUAACAACUAAAAUCCAGAAUAGACACUCACAAAAAAUCACUGAAUGUACUUUAAAUUUCACAUAUAAACCAAUCUGCAAAUGUAAUAAUUCCAGGUUAGGACGAAAAAUUUAUUUUUCCCUAAAGAUAUUGGGACUAGAAUUCCUUUAUCCAAAACAAUGUAAGAGUCCCCUGGUGGGUGGAAAAUCUAAGAGGCAAGAAAUGUCGAUAUUUUGAUUACCUGUAAAACAAUAUAAGAGUCUCCCGAAUAGAAUUUUCCAUAAUCAGCUUUCGACAAAGGAACUGGCUGAAAGUUCUCAAUCCGCCAGAUCUCUGUCCCCCUAUGUCAUGUUAAGAAAUGGUAUAGGAUGUUCAACAGCAUGCCACUUUAAAUGCUACCAUUAGAACAGUAGCCAGAAUCUUUUCAUAGAAAAAAAUUAGCAACUAGAGGAAAGAAAGGUAAAGGCAUCGAAUAGAAUUUAGUAUGAGGAUACACUUUUUGGCCAACUCCCUGAAAUGCUGGAUCAAGAUUUUUUGUAGAGCUAGCCAUCAUGCAGUAACUUUCACUAACCCUUCUCAGAAAACCAGCUGUCUUCACAGACUCAAUAAGCUAUGCUAAUAGCAUCAAUAAUUUACUAAACUACCUGUCACUGCCAGCAACGAGACAUUAAUAAUAUAAAAUUGAAGCAUGUAGCCUAGUACACUAUAUUCUGGGAUUACCAGCCUGAAGCAUUCUAUAUCUGGCAGAGCUUGUAAUCCUUCAAUAAAAAAUGGUCCAGAAUCAUGCAUGGUUUUAGCUCAAAAGAUAAAAAGAUGAUAGCGAAAAGUAAACAAAUUAGCAGAUGUUAGUAAAUCUUACGCUUUCACGAGAGAGAGAGAGAGAGAGAAGGUGAAAGAUGUAAGCGUCACCGAGCAAGGACACCUAAAAUAAUACCAUAUAUGCAAAAUGACCAAAAUCAAAAUUACUACUUAGCAGCCAUAUUAUUUCUGAGAGAUUGAAACUUAUUAAAAUAAGCUAAACUAAAACUAAUAUAGAUGUAACAGUGUCAAUCCAUAUUGCAUGUUGCCAAAUGAAGAUACUACAUCAUAUAAGUAUGGUUAAGCACUGAUUCAGAUCUUCCAUAUGAACGUAUAUGAUGCAAAGAUACACUAUAAUGCAGGCUGAUAUGGGUGGGGAACAUGAGAGUCAAACCUUCUUAGAUUACAUACAACUCAAGCCGGUCCAGUACUAGUAGUUUUUCCCCACUUCAAAUCCUUCAAGACUUAAACAAUUUCUAAGAUUUUCUUUUCUCAAGAAAAAAUGUCUGGUCAUGCUAUAUUAGGUUGUGUCUUGACCUUUUUCAUUGGUUAGUGCACAUAUUCAGAAACUACUGUAUCCAUGAUCUGCAUGAAAUUUUAGCAUGGUUGAUGAUCCUCAUAUUAUGGUAUUGUUUAUGCUUCUAAGUUUGCUUGGAUGGGUUAACUUUCAUCUCUAAGUGUUGAAAAUGUGCACACCACUACUAAAAGCAAUGAAAACAGACUACAUAAAAAGGGGGAAAUGUUUUCUGUAGCUCAUAAUUUUCAUUCUAAUUAUGUAUCUACUGAAAAGAUUGUGCAAGUUAAGCUGUAAUUUCAAUAACACACCAGGCUCUGACCAGCUAGGCAUAAUUCUUUGUUCUUCAGCUAAUGAGUACUAAAGAGAAAUUACAUUAAAUUGGUCAAUGUUAUACAACAUAUGAACUCAUGGUGGAAUAUAAAUUUGGGCAGCACUCAAUCUGAAUGCCUGUUUAAGGGGUAAUGAUGGAUGAAAAGGACACUCACAAACAGUUCUGGUCCAAAUGACUCCUUUAAAAGAACAGGUUCCACAUAGAAGAAAGACAAAACUACUAACAAAAAUGAAAUUUUCCAAAAUAUUGCAGCAUGUGCAUGGAGUGAUAAAUGAUACUAGCUAGAUAUUGGCACAAGGAGUCACAUAUUCUGAACAAUUAAAAUAAUAGGAUAUGUUAACACAGUUACAUAAAUCUUGGAUAUGUUAUACGAGUAAUGGAAUAUAUAUAUAGAUACAGAUAUCCAUACAUAUAUAUAUGUGUGUGCACAUGCGUGUGUGUGUACAUAUGUGUGUAUAUAUAUGUAUGUAUGUAUGUGUGUAUAAAUAUGUAUAUAUAUCUAUGUAUACAUAUGUGUGUACACACACACACACAUAUAUAUAUAUAUAUAGAGAGAGAGAGAGAUUUGGCUACAUUCGAGUGGAUCUCCACUCAAAUCUGGCCAGAUCUACAUUAGACAAAGGGAGUCCCGCAUCAAUGAUACGUGCUGUUGAAUGUGAAACUCUAUAUCUAAACUGCUUAUACAGGAAAAAUCAUGUGAUUUGCAGACCCCUAGCCUAUACAUUGAAUGAUCAAUUCAAAAACACAUCUAAGUUAAUUUUGUUUAGGUUAUCCAAUAUUCUGACCACUUGAUGCAUAUGAUGGAAGUCUCCAAAUCACAUGGUUUUUGGUAUGUAAAUAAUCUAGAGACAGUAGAUCACAUCCAAUGGCUCGAGACAUCAAUGUGGGAACCCUAUUAUCCAAUAUAGAUCUGACUGGUCUGAGUGGAGAUCUACUCAAGUGUAGCCAAAUCUAGCUCACAUUAUACCACCUAUACUUUAGUAAUCUUGCAGGCUACUCAGUUUAUGAUGCAAUCUAGACCAGGAGUUACCCUGAAUUUCUAAAUAGCAAGUUGCUGUUCUUCCAUUAUCCCAAAAUUGAACAACAACGAUGUCAUUGAUCUGAUGUUGUAGCUCAGGUUUAUUGUAUUAGUCUUCGAAAUGAGUUAGAAUCACAGACCUUAACACACUGCAUUUUCAUCUAUAACUUAAUCAGCUGCAAGGAAAAGGAUAACAUAUUCUAAUGUAAAAGGAGUUCUUUAAACUAGUUAAAAGGAUGCAACUUCAUGAAUUAAAUGAUGUAACAGGAGCAAGGAAUUGUCCAGAAUUUGGCAUGCAAUACAAGAUGACAUGGUCAAUACAUAUGUAGAAUGCCAGAAAUAGCUUACCAGACUGCCCUAAAGAUUAUACAGGAAAUUAACAGAAACAUUGUGCACCAGGCUUUCACGGUAACUGUUGCACAAGUCUCAACUACCUAGAUAGGGAUCCUGAACAAUUUACAGUUUCAAAAAAAUUGAAAUAUGCAUAUCAAAUACUCUCAACCUAAUGGAACUGGUCAUGUUAAACACGAUCCCAAAGAUGGGGCCUUCUAAAACUGGGGGUUCUCGCAUACCACCCAUGAUAAAAGAAUGAUGGACAUAAUUUAAUGCCAUGAUGAUAUUUUUGCAACUUCUUGAGGCUCACAAGUAGCAAGCUACCACACAGAGUGAAUAAUAUCUUCAACACGAAGUAUAUGCAUUGAUGUCAAAAUCUGACUUGAAAAGUGAAAGUACUGGAGAGAAUGGGAAAGCAUAGCAUCCUCUUAUGUCUAUAUAAUCUAUAGAUAGCAUUUAAGAUUUUCAUAAUACAAUUCUUCUACGUUAUCUUCAAAAGUUGUAGGAAAACAUAACAACGAAAUGCAAGUUAAUUCUCUCUGAGGAUCGCUCCUUAAAUUUUCUAAUCCUCAACGUAUCAGAAAUUCAUAUCUCGACCAUCUUCUUGCAUGUAUCAAAGAUAAAGCAUGGAAGUUCGUUUCAAAAGCCAUCGAGAAGCGAACUUAAUCGCAUAUACCCAUUCUCCACGCCCUUAAAGAAUCAGAUAAAAGAAUCACGUAUGUAAAGUGUCACCUUUUGCCAAAACCAAAUCAAAUUUCCACCAAUAACUUGCAUGCUAUGCAGCAUAAUUCAGUCAGGAUCAUAUCACAAAACCAAAAAUCUACACAAAACUCCAGAAUCCCACAGCAGAUCGAAACAGCAAAGAUGGUUCAAAAAGAAAAAACUAAUAAUAAAACAUUCAAUUCUACACCUGAUCCCCAUAAAAUUAAAUCAAACAAACAAUUCCAUGAAACGAAAGCCAAAUCGAGGAAUUUAACGCCCAGAUCAGAAUAAACACAUGCAACAACAUCUGGCAUCCGAGACAGAGUGAGUGAGUGAGAGAGCAGAAUCUGAUCCAAUAUCGGGGGGCACGAGAAUCGAUCCAUGAGAAUCGAAAAAGGAAAAGGCAAUGGAAUCCAUGGAGCAUUCAUCAGAGAGGAUCGGUACCUCAGAAGAAGAUCCGAGGACGACGUCGGAGAAGGAUGGGGGAGAAAAGGUGGUGGAAAAUGGGAACAAAGGAAUAGAGGCAACGAGGCCUCGAUAGGUGACGAAAGGGGCGAUACUUAAAUGACGAUUGCUUUCUCUCUCUUUGUUUGGCACAAAAAUCGCAUGCGGGCUUCCUAUUUUACCGCAUUCCCUGUCAUGCGAAGCGCAAAAAUUGAAGAAUUUCUCGCGCAAACGCAAUUAUUAGUCCACUGAUCCAAAAUAAUAAUAAUAAUAAUUUAUAAUUUAUAUUUUUAAAAUAUAUAUUUUAUAGAUAUAUAUUAUAUAUCGAUAUAUAUUAUAUAAAUAAUAUAGAUCAAAUAAAUUAAUCACUAAAUAAAUUAAUAUAUAUCAAAAAAUAAAUUAAUAUAUAAUUUCAGAAUAUAUGAAAUUAAUUAAUAUAAUUAAAUAAUAUAUAAUUAUCAAAUUGAUGAUCUAGCAAUCCAAUACAUAUUUUUAAAUAAAUUAAUAUAUAAUUUUAAAAAAAUCAUAUUCACUGAUACAUAUUACAUGGGUAAAAAGUACACAUUCAUCAACUUUUCGAAGGAUAUUGUAAGUUUCUUAGAUAUAUACAUCUAGUAACAAUCUAAUAUACAUCUUCAAAUAAAAAUUAUAUUCUAAAAGUUAUGUAUCAGAUCAUCUGCAAAUAUGUAUUGAAUUAUUAUUGGAUAUGUAUCAAAAAAAUUUAUAGUAUAUUUUACAAAAUCGAUAAGCUAUAUAUUAUCUGGCCAAGCAAUGCGUACUAAUAAAUAUGAUGUUUCAAAAAUUAUAUAUUAAUUUACUUAAAAAUAUAUAUUGAAUUGUUAUAUUAAUAAUUUUUUGAAUAUGUAUUAUCUAUCAUAUAUUGUAUAUCAGUAAACUUUAUGUUUUAAAAAAUUGUAUGUUAAUUUAUCUAUAAAUAUGUAUUGAUUUGUUAUUUGAUGCUUACCUUACUCAGUGUAUAUCAUUUGAUUACAUAUAUUUUAUAAAAAUAAAAAAAAAUUAAUUAUAAUAUUGAUGAUUUCAUUAAUAAGAUUGGAACUCUAAGAUAGUUACAUGAGAAAAUAUGAUAAAAUAGAAAAUCGGCCUAUAUUCCUAUCUCCAAUGCCUGUCCAAUGUGAUUUUUAUUCCAUCCUUAGCCUUACCUUUUUUAAAGCCUUCCCAUAAUUUGAUUUUUUUUUUUUUGCAAAUUUUGGUUACAUUGAAUGUGAUUCGGUUUUUUUUUUCAGAAAGAAAAAAAAAUCAGAAAUGGAUAGAGAGAGAAAGAGAGGGAACCGAACCGGAGUCGAGAAGGGGGAAAGAUCUGGUCCGCGUCGGAUUGGAUUAAAUUGGAAGGACGUACACCGGGUGGGAUACCUUCCGUUUUCCAUCAAAAAAAAAUGGAAGGACGUAAUUUGGUCGUGGCCUACAAUAACAAUGGCGUCACGAAUCAGCCUUCGUUUUUUUACAUGUUCAACAAGAAAGCUUUUUUACACGUUGAUUCUGUGCGGUGUACAUGCAUUAUAUGAACGGUUGUGAUUCCAUCACAGACCCACUAACAGAAUAUGAAAAUAUGAAAAUAUUUUUGUUUUUUAUACUGUAUAUAUAUAUAUCUUUCUUUUUUUUUGGCUCAACAUGUGAAAAUUUUAUGUAUGUUUGCAACUGUUUAGGCAGAAUGGUGAAAUCAGCCUUCAAAACCUUACCAUCAUAUGUAGCAAGACCAUAACAAACAUUUAAACUGUUUUUCGGUUGGAACCAUCAUUAUGUAACAAGAAUAAUAGGUAUACUAUUUAAUAGUUAUACUGUUUGUCAACUAAAAUAAUGUUUUAAAUAUGGAUAUUUGUCCCACCUAAAAACUAUUUAUUUAAUACUUACUAAAAUAUUUUCUAUUAGUGGUGAGUUGCUCAACAUUAUUUUUUUACAUGGAAUAUUUUUUCUUUGAAAAGGAAUUUACACAGAAUGUUGAUCAUCAAAUUUACACACAAUGUUUUUCCCUGGUCCAUGAUCUUCUUAAACAAAACAAAGUGGAAUUUAGUUCGUGGCAAAAAGAAGAAAAUCUUAUAUAUAAAAUAAAUUUUGAGGCAUAUAAAAGAGAAAAAAUUAUUAUAUGUACUGUAUGUUGGCGCAUGCUAUUAAAAUUUUAGAGAAAAAAUUUAAAAUUUUUUUUUCCCUCCAAAGAUUUCUAAAGUUUUGAUUACUUAAUUUAGUUCCAUAUCGAAAAAAGAUAAUUUCUUUUUGAUACUUUUAUAUUUUUUUUUUCUUGCCCACUUUUGCUUGGAUCAAAAAGAGAAGUAGAUUUUAAUUUUUAAUUCUUUUCUCAUCUCAUCAUACUUUUUAUCAACGAUCAUGCUUUAAAAGAGGAUAUCUCGAAAGAUGGCAAUGGGUAGGAUUUGGUUAGGAUAUUGUACUACCCAUCUUCAAAUCCAAAUUUAAUACUCUAUACCCAAACUCUAUCCGAUAUCCGAUCGGAUAAGAAAAGAGAUAUCUAUCUCUAUAUCCAAUGGAUUCGGAGACACCUAUGGGUAAUCUAUUUCCCCAUAUCCGCCCCAUACCCAUCCCAUAUCCAAAAAAAUAAACAACCAAAAUAAUUUUAUGCAUAUUAUCAACCAAAACAGAAUUAUCAAUUCAACGUAGACCAUAAUUUAUAAGUCUAGAUUUAUAGAAAUCAAAUAUAAAAAUAGAAUUACAAUUCAAUAUAGAAUAAAUUAUUAAAUCUAUUAUUUUAUCCAUGAAAAUCUAGUAUAGUGCUCUAAAAGUAGUGAACUUGAAUACCAAACUUUCAAAUAAUUUCAUGAAGUGACAAAUGCAACUCCACAAGUACGUUACUUACCUGCAAUAUGUGAUUAGAAUAUUUUACUUUCAUUUUUUUACUUUAGAACCAAAGCUACUAAUUAUUUUUAUUAUAAAAUAUAUGUUAAUGAUUAUAUAGUAUAUAAAUAGUUAUUUAUUAGAUUCAAUUAUUUUAUUGACUUGAUUGACAUAUACUUGAUGUAUUUUUUUUAUUUUAAACUUAAUUUUUAUGGGAUGAAUUAAAGAUAAAUCACUAUCUUGGGAUGAAUUGAAAUUGUCUAUUUGAAGAUAAAAUCAUAAUAAAGAAAAAAAAAUAUUAUUAUUAUUAUUGAUAUUUUGAAUAAAUUUAUAUUCCUCAUUUUAUAAAGAUGGAAGGAUAUUAUUUUUAAAUAAAAUAAGACCGCCUCUAUUAGGACUUGUUCAAAAAGAUAAAGAAUUCAAAAUUAUAAUAUUUUUAAGAUAUAAAAAUAUUAAUUAUCUUAUUCUAUAAUAAAAAAAUAUUAAGUAAAAAAGAAGCGGUGAUACUAAAAGAUAAUGAGAAUGAAGAAAAAAAUAUACAAGUACAAUUUAAUAAUUAAUAAAACUAAUAUAAUUAUCACAUUAACUAUAAAUUGAAUAUUUAUAUAUAGAGAUAGAUCGUGUGUGUAUAAAGAGAGAGAGAGAUCAUCUAUAUAUAUAUGUGUGUGUAUUCGGGUAUGGAUUUAGGUUUGGGUAUUACCCAUAUCCGUAGGUUCGGAUCGGAUUCGGAUUUGAAUUCGGAUUCGAAUAGAAAACAGCACUAUCCAUAUUCUAUCCAUAUCCGUACUACAAUUUUCGAAUUUUUUUCAAAUCCGAAUCCAAACCCAAUCAAAUCCUAUUUUUCAGGUUUGAUCGGAUUUGGAUAAGAUGCAUACCCAUCGGAUCGAAUUGAUUUUGCCAUCCAAUCGUAUCUUGGGAUAGAAUUUUUGAUAAAUACCAAUAUACAGAUUGAAAAUUCAUCUUAGGAUGCUGAUCACAUACUUCCGAGUUUUCUUUUUUGUAUCCUCGAUUUGAUAAAAUUCUCUUUGCGAAAGAAUUUUUUCUAACACAUGCCACCAAUCAUUGAGAUAUAUUAUUGUGGUUCCAUGAUUGACAUGAGUGCAGAAUGAAUGAAACCAUGCUAAUACAUCUUGGUGAUCGAGGGCGUGCACGAAUGUAUUCUUGUACGUAGUGCAUGCAAUAAUUCCUCGUGAGAAAGGGCCAGGAGCAAGUAAUUUUGAUGUUAACAAGACUUCCAAAAAAAGGUGAGAUGGCCAGCGGGCAGGCAAUUGGUCCCUCUCUAAUCAACAUCAAGUUGUUCCUCUAAUUUGCAAGCCCUUGAAACGCUGUCAUACCGAGUGGAAAGCGUCGUGCCAUCACGCUUUUUACUCCCCCACGAUCUCCCAAGCUGGCUUGGAAGGCGAAUGGAGUGUGAGGCCGGUCCACCUCCAAUAAUGAGCCCCACGUUUCUCACCUUUUCUUUACUCUAAUUCUCCUCAGUGGCUUAUCAUUUAAUUCAGACUUUUUUUGUUUAAUUACAAUUCCAGUAUGCUAAUCUCUACUAUAAUGCUGAUCUCAUUCUUGCAUAAUUUUGUGAUCUUUUUGUCGAGGAUGUACAUUUUUGUCCGACACUUGCAUUGCCCACGUAGAACUCUAGUUGAGUAACGAUAUAGUUUCUUUCAAAAUAAUAUUAUUGAUUUAAAAAUUAUAAUACAGCUCAGAGUCUCUAGGGAAGGUUUGUACUUGCAUCGUCCAAUCCGAAGUACUUCAUAGAAAUCAUAGGUCAUAUCAGUGCACGUGGCGACAUUUGAUUCUUUGAUUAGAGGGUGAUAGAAAUAUUUAUGCUACAAGAAUAAUUAUUUCACAAAUUAUUGAUGGUCUAGUUUGAGUUUUUAGAACUCCAAGCUAAAGGUAUAAUUCUUCCAUCAAGGAUAAUCAAUAUAAAAAGAUGAUCUAAUUCCAACAUAUAUUUUAUUCCAAAUACCCAUAUAAAUUUUUUUCACAAAACAUAUUUCAACUCAUUUAUAUUCUUGUUUGACCAGAAUUCCUUUUUCUCCAAAAUUUCUGGACUGUUUGGCAUGAAUAAAGGUUAAAUAGAUGGAUGGAGUUGGAAGGAUGAAUGACCUCUAUCCAUUAUUUGAUUCAAAAAAUUUUAGAGAUGAUGGAUAAAAAGAAAGAAUUAUCUAUCCAUCUGGACCCAUCAUUUUGCAUCUUCUAAAUUGGUGAAUGUAAGGAAUAAUGGAUAGAGUAUGUGAGAAGUGAGUUUCUAUAUUGAUAAAAUUAUCUGUUGACCCUAUGAUUGAUUUUGAUGAUUAUAAAAUAUUAAGAAAUUAUGAUACUAAUCAUAUAGUUUAAGAGUGGAUGUAGGAUUUCUGUAUUCAAAACGAAAAAAUCAUCAUUAAAAGAAAUUUUCUUAAGAUGUCAAGCUAAAAACUUCAUUCGUUCCACAAAUCUAGCUCACAAUAGUCAAUCCCAGGAGAAAAUGAGUCGACUCUGGCAUGCAGGAUGGCAUCAGCAUAGACCUCGAGUUGACUCUAGCACAACUUGAGUCGACUCUCUCAAAAAAAAUAGAGAAAUAAUUUUUUGGAUAUAGUGUUUAAGUCGACUCCCGAAGAUCUCGAGUCGACUCCAAACCUAUUCGAGUCGACUCUCAAGUUUCUCACAGUCAUAACAAAUUAUACAAAGAAAGUUGCAGAAACAUUCAAAGUUUGUUAGAACAGUUAGAUUUCAUUCCCAACAAGCACAAAUGGCUAGUUUUCAAUUUAAACAACUUUAAAAGGUCCGAGGAUCACGUGAAAAUAAGGAGAAACAAAUUAGAAAGAUAUAUUCAUCAUUUUGAGAGAGUUCAUUGAAUAUUCUUUAAGAAAGGAAACAAAGAGGGAUUUAGUGCAAGAAUUCUGUAUGCAUUCAAGUGCAGCUUUCUCCAUCAUCAACAAUAUCCUUCCAAGCAUCAAGAAAAAGAAGUUAAGUUUCAUUUGAGCAACUCUUCGUCAACUUUCUUCGAGCUUUUAAAGAGUUUUUGUUCUCUAUUUUUAUUGUGCUGAAAAUUGUUAUCUUAUAUCCUAUUUUCUUGAUAAGUUUUUUUGAGAGAAAAAAACUUAGGAUCAAGACUCGUCCAAGCUUGAAAUUGAAUAUGGUUGGUUUUGGUUGGUGAGCUCAGAAAACUAGCUGCAUUGAUUGUGAACUCAAAAAAUAAUCGAUAUUCGAUUUUAGUUGAUGAGUUCAAAAAAUUAACUGAAUUUAUUUAUGAUCCUGAGUAAAAUAAAUACAUUAUAAUUGUACUGAUUAUAGUGAAAUUCUCAAGAGGAGCUUAGGAAGUUGAUGUAAGUAUGGGAUUGCAUCGAACUACUAUAAAAUUACUUGUCUUUAUGGUGUGCUUAUUUCAUAUGCUUUACUUUUUACUUUAUAUUUAUUAUUUUAAGUUUUACAUUGCUUAAUUCCACUGUACAUAUUCUACAUCUCACAAAUACUCAAGUUAGCUUAACAUUGAAGUAUGUUAUUAUUUAGAUUUCAAAUUUAGUUAAAGUUAUUAAAGAAGCCAAUUCAUUUCCUCUCUUUUGAGUUACUAAUCUUUUUAGGCAACAAUACCCUUUAUAAACCUUUAAACGAAAUCCUAUCACUUUUAUAAUUUUUUAUUUAUUUUAUUUAUAUAUAUAUUUUUAGUUUUACUUAUACCAUUUAUCCUAUACUAUUAAAUUUCAUAUUAAAACUUUUUAAUUUCAACACACAAUUCCAUAAUUAUAAAUAAAUAAUUAAACCUAUCUUCCAUUUUUAUUUAUAUUUAUUAUUUUUAGUUAACUAUUUAUACAAAAUUAAUUAACUAUUUAAAUUAAAUUAUAAAUUGAUUAAUUAUUUAAAUAAUUAUAUAUAAAUAAAUUUAUUCAUAUAUAAUUAAUUUAUUAAAUUAUUUAUUAAACUAAAUUAAAUUAAAUAUUUAUAUAAUUAUAAAUCAUAAAGAUUUUAAUUUAUAUAUUACUCCAUUUUUUAGUAUAAAUAAGUAUUAUAAAUUAAUAAUAAUAAUACUUUUUAUUAAAAGAUAGUUUAAUAAAAAUAUUUAUAAAUACCAUCUAUCCUUCUUUUCUUUCCUUCUAUAUCAAAAAGUAGAGGGAAUAAUUCACAUCUAUCCUUCCAUAUUUUACUAAAUAUAUGAGAGGAUGGAUAGAAUAUCCAUUUAUUUCUUUAUCCAUUCUUUCUCUCCUAUCCACCCUUCCAUCAAUCCAUUGUUCGUGCCAAAUGUUAGUCCUGCUUUCUCUUGAGCUAAAUACAUCCUUGGAUCUCUACAAUCCAAGUGGUAACUUUUUGGCCCACUUCCAAGAAAUAUAGAACGGUAAGGAGGGCAUCUAAAUCGGAUCUUCUUCUUAAAUGGCUAAAGCAAUAACUCCACUGCCCGUUUCAAAGAACAUCAGCCAAAAGGUUGGCCACCUUACACAAAGAAUAUCCUGGCACCAAAUUUAUAGGCGAAAUGUCACUUCGAUUGGCACUCAUAAUGUGGAGACUAAAACAUGCCAUGUGACCCAAUGCCACAAUGUAAGGAUGAUCAAAGAUGUCUCAUGUACAUGACCCCAGUACGAAAACAAACCAAGACUACCAAGUUGCAUCAAUAGAAUGAUAAAUGGAGAUGCUAGACUCAACCGCAAAUUGAUAAUGUUGGCUAAUAAAUUAAUAUUAGUCUGUAAGGAAGAUCCUACUUAUAACUAACAAACUUAAGAGUUGAUGAUCAAAGAAUAUUGUUAAGUAUCGUAUCAUUAGAGAUAGCAAGACAGAAAGCUCUUUAAAUUUCAUUUUUUAUUUUAUAUAAUAUAAAAAAUAAAAAAAUAAUCAUCAGUAUGAUGCAGUGAUAACAAUAGAAAAAUAUAAAUAAUAAUAAUAAAAAUAAAAAACUAGAAAUAAAUUUCCAUCUAUACUUUUCACUUAAAAGUAAUUAUUCACUUAAGUUUCAAAUAAAAAUAGCUAUUCAUUUGAAACAUAAAUUAAAAACAACUACCCAUUUUGGUUGAACUGAUCCUUAUAUCCUUUAAAAUACCGUAAUAUUAUAUUAUCAUAGUGUAAUAUUUUUUUACAAUAAGAUAAUAUUAUAUUAUAUUAAUAUAAUAUUAUUUUAUAAUAAUAUUAUAUUAUAUUAUUAUAUUAUAUUAAUAUAAUAUUUUUUUACAAUAAGAUAACAUUACAUUAUAUUUGUGUAGUAUUCUUUUAUAAUAAUACACUGUUACUUUAUUAUAUUAUAUUAAUAUAGUAUACCUUUACAAUAAGAUAGUAUUAUAUUAUCAUAGUGUAAUAUUCUUUUAUUGUAAUAUUAUUUUACAAUAAUAUAAUAUUAUUUUAUAAUAAUAUAAUAUAAUUUUAUAAUAAUAUAAUAUUAUUUUAUAAUAGUAUACAUUUUAUAACUGUAAAGAUAGUUAGAUCAUUUCAUUUUUAUUUGAAUAAUUAUUUUUUAAAUUAUGUUUCAAAUGAAAAAUUACUUUUAUCUGAAACUCGAAUGGAUAGCUAAUUUUUAAAUUUGAAUAGCUAUUUUUAAAUUUAAACUUAAAUUGAUAAUUUUUUUUAAUUUACUCUAACAAGAAUAAUAAAAAUACUAAUAAUAACAGAAAGAAAAGAGAGAAUUGAAUUAUAUAUUUCCAAGACUAAGUAAAAAAGAAUAGCCACCUAUGAGCUUAUCAGUAUUGGUAUCUCUGAAAGUCCCGGUUUUCACUUGUAGAUCAUAAAAAGUCCCACAUUAAAAUACACUCACUCAAGCACAUAACAAAGCAAUAGAUAAGAAACCAAAAUUAAGAUUCAACACAAAUUCAUUGUACAUUAGAAAAUGCAAGUUAAUGUUAUUGAUUUUACUACCCACAUGACCACCUUCACAUCCAUUAAACUUUCCACGCAACUAUACUCAUCCACCACGCCAUUUUCAUUGUUUGCAAUAGAUAAUGCAUAAUCCAUCAAUAAAUAGUGGAAUCAUCUAAAGAAAACAGAUGAAUGAAGGUAAUUAUCAUUCAUGACGGACAGCUGAUAACUCGAAUUAAACCAGAAAUCCUCCACCUGACAAAAUCUAUCAGGGUCAACAUACGAGCAAGGAAAAAAAAACUUUUGGGUUUUAUGAGAAAGAACAUCAUCAUUCAUUUAUUAUAAUACAAAAUACAUAACCUAGUUUCACACGCCCCAUGAAGUCAUCCUUCCAAUUUGUUCAGAUUCAGCAUGCACAUGUUAAUCCAUGAACGCCUCCGUGCCAUCAAAAAGCAUUAAAGAAAAGGAAAAGAUAAAUCAGAAAAUUUCAAUGGAGGAAAGUCACAGGUAGGACAUUAUCCCCCAAAGAUUAUCCUUCAGCAUAUAGAUGAUGAUGCCAGCCUGGUCUCCAAACUCAGGAAAAUGAUGAUAUUACACCAGAUCGAAAUCAAGGAUAGUGUCCUUGGCCAAGAUCAAAAGGAGCAACUUGAAAUAUAUUAAAACCCAUUUUCGGGUGACCUCUUGGUGAACAUAAUCCAGAAAAAUCUCCUUAAAAAACCCAUAUAUCUGCCAGUAUACUGAGAAAAUCAGUAAGGAAGUGGUCGCUGCAGAUUUUGACACAAGAAGCAGUGCUGGUAUGAGAGCAUAAGUAAUUUUCUGUGAAAGCUCCAUUCUCUUUAUCUUCGAGCUUUCAUCCCCCAAUCCACUUUUUCGUUCUUUUGUAUGGCUCCCCUCCAAUGGGCUGAAAGCAAUAACCUUCGAACAAUCUCCCUCCUUUCCAUUACAUGUCCUCCGCAAAAGCUUUUCACAAAAUGAUGUUUUGAUAAAAUCAAUAACAAAUAAAAGCAAAUAUCAGAUAAACUCCAAUUCAAUAUUAAACUAUAAAUGCAGAGCUGGUGGAAUUGCAUACAUUCUUUUCAGUUGAAUUAGAAAGCUGAGAGAUGACUUGGUCUGACAGAUGUGUCAUAGUUCCACCAUGCGCAAUCCCAGAAAACCAACGAGGUAAUCCUUGUGUACCAGUAUGCACCAGUUUGAUCGAAUAGCUCGGAGGGAUUUGUUCAUAGGCCCAAAGCUGCAUAAACAGUGAACUUCAUGAAACAUUGAUAACAAUAGCAAAAAAUAAUGGAAGUGAAAUUUAACCAAGCCCAAUUAUUGCCUCCAGAGCAACAUGACAAGCACAUCUGUUAAUACCAUUAGGAGCUCGCCCGUCUUAUUAAUAUUAUGGGCAUAAUUAUGAAGGGUGGUUUAUAUUUUACUCCAAACACUUUGGUGCACAAUGAUCUGGCACACUCCGUCAUAACAAAAGGUUGUGAGCAAACCAGUCUUUAUACCAAAAAAAUCCUUAGCUUUUGGAUAUUUUUGACCCAUUUGAGUUAAGGCUCUCAUCUUCCUCUCAUUCUUUCCAACAAUAUAUCAAGAAAAAGGUAGUGAUUCUUUAAGAUGAGGUUGUUGAUAUAAGCAUUUGAGUUGUUCAUUUCAACUGCAUUAUAACUUUUAUUGCAGCAGCAAUUACGAGACUUUCAAAACAAAUAACAGUAAAUAAUGGAAGUUAAAUUUAACUGAGCUAAAUCAUUGCCUUAGUAGCAUCAUAAGAAAACUUAUUACAUGUUUUUGGAAGAUUACCUCAAUCUUACUUAAGAUUCUGGACAUAAUUAUAGAGGGUGGUUUAUCUUUCACUCACAUAAUCUGCUGGAGCAAUAAUUUGCAAACUCCCUCAAACAGGAGGUAGGGGGGAACCUUUUUUUGUAAUAAAAAAUAUCUUAACUUUUGCAUCUCUUCAGCCCACUAGAGUUAAAGCAAAUAUCUUCCUCUCCUUUUCCAACAAUACAUUACAAAAAAAUUAAUCAUUCUUGUUGAUGAAAUUGUUGAUGUAAAAAUUUAAACAACUGACUUCAAAUGCAUUAUGACUGUUGUUGUAGCAGCAUUUAAGAGGACGGCAAUGGAAAGAUGAGGAUUCAGUUGGGCAUUCGCCUAAACUCUAAUAUUUUCUUGGCUCCUGAAAAACACCAACCUUUGGGUGUCUUAAUACAACUACUAUCCAGGUAAUUUGAUCGGUAUGCUUUUUCAGGCAUCACAUUAUUUCUGGUUUCCCAUGCACAACAUGCCACCUGUCCCUGAUAAGACUCAAGCUCAGGCUUAACAAAUCUCCAGAAGCCAUUAGCAUGACCCAAGAACUCUAAAGAAAUUAAUUUAUUCAACAUACAAAAAAAAGUACAUAAAAAGGACAACCGUCUAGCUCUAGAACACAAUGUGUCAUAAGUCUCUAUAACUUAAAGCGAAUCAGCCCCAUACUGAGGACCCAGUUCUGUACAACACACACACACACACACACACACAUGAGUGCAUCCCUAAGUUUUCAGUUUUAGAUAAGUAUGACCAAAAAGAUGAAAAAGAAGAAGGAGAAGAAGUGAAAAUGAGGAAAGAAAAAAACAGAAACAGAGAGAAUAAAGGUUAGAGUUUAAUCAUGUGAAAUAAUAACUGAAUCAAUUAGCACAAGAGGUUAUCCUUCCACAAAAUCCAGGGACAUAACAUUUAAUCUAAUGACAUAAGGAUUAUGAGAAGUAAUCCAUUCUAUCCAGACUAUCAAAAAUCAGCUAACCAUUGCUCUAUUGACUGAAUGGGUUCUAUUACUUUUGAGAAUCAAAGGUUAAAAAAAAUCAGUACAAUAUACAAAUCAUCUAAUCAGAAGAUCAACACAAGAGGACUUUAUUUUCUUAUUGCAUAUAGCUGUCAUGAAUACAGCUUUAACAUCAGGCAAAGCCAUAUUAUAAAAGGACUAAGAUAAUACUGGCACUAAUUAGCCAUGUACAAGUGGCUUAUUCAUUCGUACAACUAACAGUUAAGUUAUGCACAUGUCUAGGAUGCUUGUAUUAUGUCAAAAAUAUUUGUACAAGUGCACAUGAGAGUGCCUAUGAGGUUUUCAAGAAAGUAGAAGGCCCAUCCAACUGCCGUGAUUGGCACUCUAGUAGACAUGACUAAGAUUCUUCUACAUCUUUUCUGGGAUUUUAUUUAACUGCCAUGCAAAGGUACCAACAAUUCAGUAAUCCUGUUAUAACGAUGCCUGAGGGUUACUGUUAUUGGGCAUUAUAGCAGAAAUAAUGGCUAGAAUUGUCUUCCCCAGAUUUCGAUGAAUACUCCCAGGACAGAACAGUUGCUGCCAUAAUAGCUGUUAUAGACAUUCUAAACAGCAGAGGCAACAACAACAACAAAAAUUAAUGGUGGCACUUGAUAAAAUGGCAUUUCAAACAUUAAAAUUUGUGGGAGCCUAUGCUGGCGUGGGUUCAAUCCACAUUGGUUGUACAUUAGAAAGAUCUCGGGUACUUAUCAGGCUAAAAAAUCCAAACAAUACCUUCUGGUAAGCCUUUUUCUGUGAGGUCCUGAGUUGCUAUAAUGGUAUCCAGGUCAAUGCACGCCAUAGCAAUAUGGACUAGGAGACACUGAGCCAUAAUUCUUUUAGGAGAUGAUCACGAGCCAAUCAUAGAGUUUGUGGUUGGGUUUGAUUGGCUUUGGAAAUCCCUAGCUUGCAAAAGGAUGUCAGGACGUAGACGGAGGGAGUAUGUGAGAUCCCGUGGUAGCAUGUGUUUAGUUGGUGGCGGCCAGGGUAAUUACACAGUUUCAUAAUAAUAUAUUACGGUUAGUGCAUUUAUGCAUCAAAGUAUUGACGCGGAAUGACAAUUUAUUUUUCAUAAACGUGAAAAGAUCAAAUGAAGAAAGAAAUAGCCGCUAUUUAAAAUCCCACCAUAUAUACAUGCACAACAAAUGGGGACCUCUUCACGAUUACAAUGAUUAUAAACCAUGGUGUCAGCAUAUUCUCGCGCAAUUCGUUAAUAGCCUCGUAGAAUAAUCUUUUUCCUUAGCAGUAUAACCAGCGAAUAUAGGAUUACGAAAUUCUACUCAGCAGGAAUUUUUCCCCAUCAAUCCUUCUCCCUGCAGAAAAACCCUAAUAAAGUUUUCAUCUUUCACAGAGCUAACACCUACUAUUAUCAGGAGUUCGACAGAACUAUAGAUCAAAUACCACUGAAUCCUAAGCCCAUGGAAAAGAAGAAUAGUAGGAGGAAGAAGGAAAAGGGUAAAUCGCACCUUUCUGGAGCCAAGGAGAGCGUUGUGGUGGGGAGCAGUAACCGAAUCGAGCACGGGGGCGGCGGGGGCCGAUCCAGCGGCGGGGGAUCUGCAAUCGGGCGGCGGCGGGGCUCGCCCAUGAUCUAGAGGGGGACGGGGAAGCGACGGAGAGGCGAGGGAGUGGAGAGCUCGGAGAAAUUGGGAGGACGAGGAGGGAAAGGCGUCGAUCGGGGAGGAGGAGCGGUGGAGGAGGCCGGAUAGGUUUAGGGUUUUGGAUCGGGUCAGAAGAAGGGCAGCCAUGGCCGUCGCCGCUCUCGGCGUUAGAGAGGAGAAUAGGAAGCGAAGAGGGAGAAAAAGCUGAGCAGCGACUGAGUACUUAGAGAGACGAGGUAGCAACGCGACAGCUGAAUCGCCGUUCGUGCACGCGCUUUGCAGUCGCAAGCUGCGCGUGGAAGAAGCGUGGCUUUCCUUUUCGCUGGCGUCCGAGCGAACAGACGCUUAACGCGAAGUUGGUAAACUAUACUCCCGUGACACGAAUGGACGCCCGGCUUUAGUGCGAGCAUUGCCGCCUAAAGCUUUCCACGAGAGCGAAAAGCAAAAACCAUGGGCUGGAGUUACCGCCGUGGUAACGAAUCUACCCUUUGUGAAGAACGAGGGCCAAAAAAAUUCAUUUUUGAAGGACGAGGGAACUUUUAAACACAAGGUACCUACUGCUCAAACAACCUCAAAAGUGAUAAUUUUUAAUGAUUGUUGGGAUCAUUCAAUCUAUCUCCGACUCCGACUCUACAUUAUUUUUAUAAAUAUAAUAUUUUAAUUAACAAUCAGCUAACCGACCGACAGUCGACUAUUAUCAACCAACAAUGAACAACUACGACGACUCAGUUAAUAUCCGACUGAUGAUCAUCGAUAUAUCAGAGUUACCAUCUAAUUCUUAUUCGGAUCUCCACCGACCUACUACUAUUACCGACAUAUAGUUCGUUUAUCUUUUCAACACAUCUAACCAUUAUAAACGGUUAUCGAUUGCGUAUCACGGUCAUUAGUGGACAUAAAUGAUCCAUUAACUCUAUGAUUAUGGUCCGAUAAUUUAGCGCCAUAAAAAGCGAAACUACGUGCUCGACGGUUAUAUCAGAAUCAUUUAUAAAAGAAAGGUAAAUGAGCAGUAUGGAUAAAAUAAUUCUAAGAUGAAACUCUAUCAAUUCAAAUAUUCUUCAUCUGCUGUUCAUAACUUUCCAUUGAUUUAAGCAUCAGAAGAUCCUUGUCGGAUAUAAUUUCGGUCUGUGAGGACUUUGUUUUGCAAGUGCUUUUUACCGACGACAGACGAUAGGAGUUGACCGCAACAAUGAUAAAUCUGAUAAUUUAAUUAAUGGAUAAAAGAUAUAUCCAUAGUAAUUAAAAAAUAAAAAAUUAUAAAAUUGAAUAGAAAAAUCUAUCUCGAAUACCCAAAAGAUAGAUUUCAUAUGAUUUGCUAUGCAUGAUACGAUAUAAUCAACAAUACUGCUUGCAUCGCAACAAUCAUUCAUUGCAGAAGAGGAUGAAACCCAUCUCCAUCAGCAAUCUUCCACGGAACAUGCAACAAGAUAGACAGGAUAUUCUUUGGAGGAAACUAACUAUAAUAAUUCAUUGUUUCUUGCUAUUAUACAUUAACGCAUUUCUUCUACCACUCAUUUUCUCAUAAGUGAACUUGUUGGGAUAUACCGACUGACUCUAUCCGACCGACCGACUCCAUCCGACCGACCGACUCCUCCCGACCGACCGCGGGCGACACCGACAGCGACUAUCGAUUGCGCCUCGAUCGAAACGGGUCAGCCUAGUGGCCCCACGUCGCCUCCGAUCGCCUGAGGGCUGACCCCCCGUCGCCGACUUCCCAUCGGAUGGGACACUGACGACUCACUGUCGGUUUGGAUGGCUGUCGUCCCACCUCUACAGGCCUUCCUAGAUGUCGGAUGAGCGGCGUGGGCUGCAGUCCCAUCAAGUAAACGCCGCACGAAUGCCAGGGGGCAUUACCCUGCCAGGAAGCCUGGGGUGCUAUCCUGCUAAGGACGAGAAUUAAUUCCUAGGACCUAUCAACUUUGUCAACGGCAUGACAACUUCUGACGAUUUGACAACUCUCCAGUUGUCUACAUCACCGACGGCGGGGCCAUACCACCUCCUACUAUAAAUCGGAGAAGGCAACAGUGCUACAGGGGGGCUUCUCGGAGAAAAUGCUCAGGCUUGCUCUCUCUCUCUCUCCCUCUCUCCCCGUAGAGCUCCUUGUCUNNNNNNNNNNNNNNNNNNNNNNNNNNNNNNNNNNNNNNNNNNNNNNNNNNNNNNNNNNNNNNNNNNNNNNNNNNNNNNNNNNNNNNNNNNNNNNNNNNNNNNNNNNNNNNNNNNNNNNNNNNNNNNNNNNNNNNNNNNNNNNNNNNNNNNNNNNNNNNNNNNNNNNNNNNNNNNNNNNNNNNNNNNNNNNNNNNNNNNNNNNNNNNNNNNNNNNNNNNNNNNNNNNNNNNNNNNNNNNNNNNNNNNNNNNNNNNNNNNNNNNNNNNNNNNNNNNNNNNNNNNNNNNNNNNNNNNNNNNNNNNNNNNNNNNNNNNNNNNNNNNNNNNNNNNNNNNNNNNNNNNNNNNNNNNNNNNNNNNNNNNNNNNNNNNNNNNNNNNNNNNNNNNNNNNNNNNNNNNNNNNNNNNNNNNNNNNNNNNNNNNNNNNNNNNNNNNNNNNNNNNNNNNNNNNNNNNNNNNNNNNNNNNNNNNNNNNNNNNNNNNNNNNNNNNNNNNNNNNNNNNNNNNNNNNNNNNNNNNNNNNNNNNNNNNNNNNNNNNNNNNNNNNNNNNNNNNNNNNNNNNNNNNNNNNNNNNNNNNNNNNNNNNNNNNNNNNNNNNNNNNNNNNNNNNNNNNNNNNNNNNNNNNNNNNNNNNNNNNNNNNNNNNNNNNNNNNNNNNNNNNNNNNNNNNNNNNNNNNNNNNNNNNNNNNNNNNNNNNNNNNNNNNNNNNNNNNNNNNNNNNNNNNNNNNNNNNNNNNNNNNNNNNNNNNNNNNNNNNNNNNNNNNNNNNNNNNNNNNNNNNNNNNNNNNNNNNNNNNNNNNNNNNNNNNNNNNNNNNNNNNNNNNNNNNNNNNNNNNNNNNNNNNNNNNNNNNNNNNNNNNNNNNNNNNNNNNNNNNNNNNNNNNNNNNNNNNNNNNNNNNNNNNNNNNNNNNNNNNNNNNNNNNNNNNNNNNNNNNNNNNNNNNNNNNNNNNNNNNNNNNNNNNNNNNNNNNNNNNNNNNNNNNNNNNNNNNNNNNNNNNNNNNNNNNNNNNNNNNNNNNNNNNNNNNNNNNNNNNNNNNNNNNNNNNNNNNNNNNNNNNNNNNNNNNNNNNNNNNNNNNNNNNNNNNNNNNNNNNNNNNNNNNNNNNNNNNNNNNNNNNNNNNNNNNNNNNNNNNNNNNNNNNNNNNNNNNNNNNNNNNNNNNNNNNNNNNNNNNNNNNNNNNNNNNNNNNNNNNNNNNNNNNNNNNNNNNNNNNNNNNNNNNNNNNNNNNNNNNNNNNNNNNNNNNNNNNNNNNNNNNNNNNNNNNNNNNNNNNNNNNNNNNNNNNNNNNNNNNNNNNNNNNNNNNNNNNNNNNNNNNNNNNNNNNNNNNNNNNNNNNNNNNNNNNNNNNNNNNNNNNNNNNNNNNNNNNNNNNNNNNNNNNNNNNNNNNNNNNNNNNNNNNNNNNNNNNNNNNNNNNNNNNNNNNNNNNNNNNNNNNNNNNNNNNNNNNNNNNNNNNNNNNNNNNNNNNNNNNNNNNNGGCCCCCGACCGACGGUCGGGUAUCACCCCCAUGACGGGACCAGGGGUCACCCCGACGCCGGAGCCCGAGGCCGACACGCCCCAGGUACGAUUUCUACACUCCCAUCUCUGCUCUCCGUGCGCAGAUUUUGAUGAAGAUCGAAGAGGAAGAGUACCUGUGACGGCCUCCGCCUUUGAAGGCAAAGGGCCUCGACCGACGGAAAUACUGCCGAUUCCACUGGGGCCACGGCCACAAUACCGAGCAAUGCAUCCAGCUUAAGGAUGAGAUCGAAGCCCUCAUCCGCCGGAGAUAUCUCGAUAAAUUUCAAAGGAACCCACCAACCCAACCCAUUGCCGACCGACGACCCCAGCCGACCGGAGAAGCGACUGAUAAUCGACCUAUGGUCGGGGUCAUCAACGUGAUUUUCAAACGGCUGGAUCCGGGGACGUCCGCUGGAGGGGAGCCGGUGAAGAAGCUACGCCCGGACGAUGUGAUUACCUUUACAGAAGAAGAUGUUUGGGGCAUCCAAAUCUCCCAUGAUGAUGCUGUUGUUGUCUCGACAACAAUAGCCAAUUAUGAUAUAAAAAGAAUUUUUGUAGAUAAUGGAAGUUCAACGAAUGUUCUGUUUUACUCGACCUUCUCACGGAUGCGACUGUCGGCCGACCGACUCAAGAGAGUCUCCACGCCCCUAAUAGGUUUCGCUGGAGACGCUGUCGCAGUGGAAGGAGAGGUCACCCUGCCCGUGAUGGCUGGAGCCGAACCACGGUAAAGUACGGUCCUCCUGACUUUCGCGGUCGUCCGGGUGCCCUCGGCCUACAACGCCAUACUCGGAAGAUCCGGACUGAACGCCCUCAAGACGAUAGUUUCGACGUAUCAUCUUCUGGUGCGGUUCCCGAUCAAAAACGGCGUCGGAGAGAUGCGCGGAGAUCAACACCUCGCCCGUCAAUGCUUUCAGAUCUCCGCUCAAAGCGACGAAUCGAAAGGCCCCCUGACGGCCGAUAAGCUGGACCAACGGGAGGAAGAAGAGCGGGGCGAGCCGGCCGAACAGCUCAUUCCCAUCGCGAUAGCAGGGGACCCCGACCAGAAGGUGUGGGUCGGGUCUCAAUUACCCGACCCCGAGCGGCGACAUUUGGCAGAGCUACUGAAGGCAAAUACCGACGUAUUCGCUUGGUCGGCGGCGGAUAUGCCGGGAAUUCCCCCAGAGAUGAUGACCCAUCGACUCAACAUCGACCCAUCAAUGAGACCGGUAAGGCAGAAGAAAAGAUCUUUCGCUCCAGAAAGACAGAGGGCCAUCGACGAGGAGGUGGAUAAGCUACUCGAGGCAGGCUUCAUCAGGGAGAUCACUUAUCCCGAUUGGCUCGCCAACGUUGUAAUGGUGAAAAAAGCCAACGAAAAGUGGAGGAUCUGCAUCGACUACACCGACUUGAAUCGAGCCUGUCCAAAGGACAGCUUUCCACUUUCGAAGAUCGAUCAGUUGGUGGAUGCGACGUCCGGCUACCGACUGCUCAGCUUCAUGGACGCCUUCGUAGGGUACAACCAGGUCUGGAUGGCGCCCGAAGAUGAGGAACGCACCGCCUUCGUAACCGUCAAGGGCCUCUACUGCUACAGAGUAAUGCCGUUCGGACUGAAGAACGCUGGCGCCACCUUCCAACGACUGGUCAACAAGGUCUUUAAAGAUCAGAUCGGGCGCAACAUAGAAGUGUACGCUGACGACAUGCUGGUAAAGAGUACGCAAAUUUCGGAUCAUGUCCGGGAUCUCGAAGAAACCUUCCGCACUCUAUGACGACACCGGACAAAGUUGAACCCGGCCAAGUGCGCCUUCGGAGUGACCUCGGGGAAGUUCCUAGGAUUCCUCAUCUCACAACGGGGAAUCGAGGCUAACCCCGAGAAGAUCAGGGCCAUCAUCGAUAUGCGACACCCGGACACCAAGAAGGAGGUGCAGCAACUCAACGGAAGGAUCAUCGCGCUGAGCCGAUUCAUUUCUCGAUCGGCUGAGAGAUGCCUCCCGUUCUUCAAAACCUUGCGACAAGCCAAGCAGUUCUCUUGGCCGGACGAGUGCCGGCAAGCCUUCGAGGAACUGAAGAGGUACCUGGCCUCUCCGCCACUCCUCGUGAGAUCGGAGGUCGGGGAGGUCCUGUACCUUUACCUGACUACGUCCCCGGAGGCGGUUAGUUCGGUGCUCGUCCGAGAGAACGAGAACCGGGUUCACCAACCGAUAUAUUAUGUCAACAAGGUGCUCCAUGAAGCUGAGACUCGGUACUCGAAAGUAGAGAAAAUGAUUUUCGCUCUAGUCAUUUCAGCACAGCGACUCCAUCCGUACUUUCAGGCACACGCCAUCGUGGUCCUCACCAACCAGCCUCUGAGAGCCAUCUUGCACCGCCCUGACACAUCAGGACGGCUGGCGAAAUGGGCUGUGAGACUGAGCGAAUUCGACAUCCAAUACCGGCCACGACCUGCCCUCAAAGCUCAGGUUCUGGCCGACUUCAUCGCCGAAUGCCCGAUGACCAACCUACCGUCGGGGGAGGGAAGCCCCGUGGAGGUCGGGACCUCCGACUGUGACCCCGACUCGGCCUGGAUGUUGCACAUCGACGGAGCUUCCAAUGCUCAAGAGAGCGGGGCCGGUUUCCUACUCACCAACUCGGAGGGGGUGGUUACUGAGCACGCCCUCCGAUUCGACUUCAAGGCCUCCAACAAUCAGGCCGAGUAUGAGGCGCUCGUCGCGGGUUUGAAAUUGGCAUUGGAGCUCGGGGUUGACCGACUCAAAGUCUUCUCCGACUCUCAACUGGUCGUUGGGUAGAUCAAGGGCGAGUUCGAAGCACGAGAUCCGACCCUGGUCAAAUACCAUCGAAAAGUGAAAGAUCUCGUGGCACCCAUCGAGUACUUCAAAAUCUCCCACAUCCCUAGGGCGAAAAAUGCUCGGGCUGACGCGCUCUCCAGGCUCGCGACAUCCGACUAUGGUGCCUUGGGCCGGACGUUCGUGGAAAGUCUUGAACGGUCGAGCAUCGAUCGGGUCGAAGAGGUGCUGCAACUGACGGUGGAGUCGAGCUGGAUGGACCCGAUCGCUCAGUACCUGACCAAUGGAUCUACCCCCGAAGACCCUGCAGAAGCCAAGCGACUCCGGUGGGUGGCUUCCCAAUAUGUGAUGAUCGACGGCUGACUAUACAAAAGGUCAUUUUCGCUUCCCCUGCUGAAGUGCCUAGGGCCCACCGACGCAGACUAUGCCCUCAGGAAAGUACAUGAAGGAAUCUGCGGCGAUCACUUGGGGGGCAAGUCCUUAGCUUACAAAGUCCUGCGACAGGGCUACUACUGGCCCACUAUGAAGAAGGACGCCGCCGAGAUGGUUCGAAGAUGCGAACUGUGCCAAAGGUAUGCCAACGUACAACACCGACCCGCCAGCCAGCUUGCUCCGGUUAUCGCCCCGUGGCUCUUCGUCCAGUGAAGAAUCGACAUAUUCGGACCUUUUCCCCCAGCGUCCGGACAAUGAAAAUUCAUCGUUGUCGUGAUUGNNNNNNNNNNNNNNNNNNNNAAUAUCGUGAGCCGGAUAACUCCGAGUGUCGGAGGGCUGACUUGGACCUCUUACCUGAGCUCCGACGCGAGGCACAACUUCGUAUGGCUUCUUACCGAUAAAAGGUGGCCCGAUAUUACAACGCUAGGGUAAAGCCAAAGCUCUUUCGACCUGGAGACCUGGUCUUGAGAAAGGUGGAGGUCUCAAAACCCUUGGAUCAGAAAAAAUUAUCCCCGAACUGGGAGGGACCCUACAAGGUAGCCGACGCCUACGGAUCGAGAGCUUACCGACUGGAAACCCUGGAAGGGAAACCCAUUCCCCGGACCUGAAACGCCGACAAUCUGAGGUUGUACUAUCAGUGAACUCUGUACCUCCCCCAUUUGGAAUACGAACUCAGUUUAAACUUCGGAGUCUGAAAUUUCGACCCUUCGACUGUGGUUCGGCGCUCACUAAGGAAUGCGAGCCUCCGACGUCCCAACACGGACUUAACGUUCUACUGCGGGCCGUCGGACUGACCAUCGACGAUGCGUCGAAUGUUUAAAGGACCGACGCACUUGCGAAAAUGGGAGUUACACUCCUUCUACAACUUUCGGCUAGAACGUUCGGGCAGAACGAUCGGCCGACUUGCCGACCCCACUCCGGUCGGGAAAGGCAAAAGCGCCAACGCAACCAACGCCGCGUUCGUGACUUACCGAUCGGGUCGAGGCCGAUCGAAGGGUAUUCGGCUUACCACCAUUUAUCACACGGUGCUACACAAGUGCCCGACCUAAGUCUGGGUAAGGGGAACUCGAUUUGCCAUCGCUUUUCCGACCAGACACGUCGACCGCGUGCGAUGAUGUACCAGACAUAGUCCGAUCGAUCGCAUCGGACGACAUUGGGGUCAUCGGGGUGCACCCGAAAGUCGGUCGACUUUCUUCCCCACGAAUGACCUUCGACUCCGCCGGCACGACCGACUCAGCGGACUCGUGCUUGGAAGUCAGUCGACCCCCGACUCACGCCAGGACGACGUACGUUCGACUCUGGCAUUCGGUUUACGGCCUAACGACGGAUGUUCGGUCCAGGCCUUGAGACGGGCGAUCAGUGGUCGGGGUUCAUCUUGCUUACCCUAUACCAAACCACCGACUAUCUCGACUAACGACUCAGGAUGACGUUGGGUGUCCUAAUGCGGCACGCCAAGGCUGCGGCUCUCCGACCUUAUGACCCCACGAUUACAAGUACAUCCCAACAGGCAAGAAAAGGAAGUCGAAAAGGGAACUGGAAAUUUCUUAAGUUCAUUUGAUUACAAAAUCGGGCCGAAGCCCGGUUAUAAGUGCGCAAAGAAAAACAAAAACACUAAAGGAAGAUAAGGCCGCGAUCAUCCUUCGGAGUCAAUUUCCUCGACUGACGGAGGCUCGGGGAUGACCGGUGUAUCUACCAUGAUCAGCACUGGGUCGACGGCCGAGGCAGGAUCGUCGGUCGAUGCUGGAUCAUGGGUCGGAGCCUGGUCAGGAGUCAGGGCCGUCCCUCCUUCGGCAAUCUGUUCUGGGACGGCCUCUCCCACCGCAGCGACGCCCCCCGACGACGGGUCGGCCAUCUCUUCCGUGGCUUCGUCCUCGGCCCCCGGUGGAAUGAUGCCGCUGAGGUCCAGCUCCGGGUACAGAGCUUGGACUGCAUCCCGACCAUCCUCGUAUCCCACCCGGUACGACGCAAAGCCGGACUCCAGCAGCUCCUCUCGAUACCGGUCGGAGCCACGAAAGUCGUCCACCGCCCGACUCACUGACUCCUUCGCCGACCUCGCCUCCGCUUCCAUCCGAUCGAGAGAGUCCUUCGCCGACUCCGCCUCUGCCUUCGCUAUGUCGGCAUCGGCCUGGGCAAUCGACAAGUCCUCCUCAGCCUUGGUGAGAUUCUGCAGGCUGACCCGGAGCUGCUUGCAUUCGGCCUCGAGCUCGGCGGCGACGCCGUCCCGUUCGCGCCGCAGACGGCGUGCAGUCCGACCCUUGCGCUUGGCUUCCUUUCGGGCUGACUUGAGCUCGGACCCGAGACGAGAGACCUCGUCCACCAACUUCGCCUCCCAGUCGGUCGACUGCUUCAGGUGUUCGACCAGCAUCGCCCUGUCGGCUUCAGCGACCGUCGCCCUGUCCUUCCAGGCCGCCCAGACGUUCCCGAACCUCCGGUACCCGGCCUCAAGUUCGGACAUGGUAUAGAUUAGUUGCAAAUGUGGGCACUAUGUCAGGAAAGCGAAGUAAUGAAAACACUAAGAAGGAAGGAGACGAAGUGGAACUUACCCCGACCAUGGUCGGGUAGAACGAAGAUAGCAUCUCGGUCACUUGCCGAGACUUCAGCACCUCCACGUCGGCUGGGAGAAGGAUCCCCUGGCACAGUCUCCUGGCCAAGUUGUGGUCGGCCAGCACCGACGCUCCUUCGGGGACCUGAGCGCCAGGUGGCGCGGUGCGACUCCCCAACCUUGUAUCGUCAGCGGGGUCCAUCGGGGCUUUCCCCCGAUCGGCUGCCCCAGCCAAUGGAUCGGGUAAGGAGGGGAUGCUCGAGCUUGACUGAGCACCCCCCGUUGCAACUGUGGGAGCCGACGGAUAACGUUCGGGUUCCCGAAUGGCGUCUGACGCCACUCCCGUCGGCGAAGCCGCCGACGUUCCUUCAGCCGCUUCCUCCGCCGGCCGCUCCUCCGAUUGCCCCGUCGGAGCCGAGAGUGCAAUCACCGGCUCCGACUGAUCGGUCGUCGACGCUGCGACGGUCGGCGCCGCUGUGGAGGGUUUCUUCGACGACCGUGAAGGUCCGGCCCCCGAUGUCGGCCUCUUCCUCGCCGCAUAUUGUCUGAUUUCAGCGUCGGUCGGCCUCAUCCUCGGCGGUGUCCCUGCGAUGCCGACAGAAGGAUCAGUAUAUGCACGAGAACGAAUGCCAAAUAAAAAGACAACCGAUGGAUCGGGCGAUACCUAGACGGGGGACCAGGCUCAGGCCAGCGUCAUAGAGGGCUUGUUCGGUAACAAGCUCCCUCUGCUUCAGAACCGACAUGUCCUUGAGUCGGUGGAAGUCCUCCCGGUCGUCCGCCUCCACUCGGCUGUUCUCGUUUGCCUCGGUUCGAGGCACGUCCCAGUGAGAAGGGAAGCCCCAGGGAGAAGAAGAAAAAACAAAGAAAAACUGGUUCUUCCACCCAUGAAUGGACGAUGGAAGGCCAGUGAUAAAGGAAAAACCCUUCCGGAGGUUGAAGAGCCACCACCCUCGGGCCUUAGGGUGGGGACGGAGGACAAAAAAUGUCCGGAAGAGAGAGAUACGAGGGUUGGUCGGCAGAAGCUGACACAACAGGACGAAGCUAAUUAUUAGCCGAACAGAGUUCGGUGCCAGUUGCGUCGGACAAAGUCCGUAAUAAUCUAGCAGAUUCCGGACGAACUUCGGAAUCGAAAGCCGAAGACCAACCCGGAGGUCCUCGACGUACAGUGCCACCUGGCCCGCGGGUGGGUUGUUAACCCGACCGCCGGUCCCUGGGGCGAAAAGUUGGAACUGCUCCGGGAUAUGAUACUGAUCCCGAAGCCGAUCCACAUUCGGCUCCGAAAGCGAGGAAACCUCAAUUUCCGGAGUCGACCGAAGGUCAUCGGUCGGGUUCUCCGACCGAGCCUCCUGAGGUGUGGUUCUGGCCAUAACGCCGGGACCGAGAGGAAGACAAGAUCGAAGAAGGAGGAAAAGAAAGGGUUUUAAAGAAAACUAGAGCAAAACAGAGGAGGGGACGAGCUCCGAACGAACCCUUAUGGGAGUGGGGGUGGGCGCAGCUGCCGUCGACGACAGAGAGACCGCUUGGGCAGAGCCUCCGCAGCAAAAUCGUUAGAAAUGGAGCUUCGAGUAUAAGUGGCCCCAUAUAUAUAGGGCUGUUCGACGGUUGAGAUGACGCCGCACCGACCGAGACUCCUCGGAUGGGUGACACGUGGCGGCAUCCGGGCCCCCUUUCGAUCCGAUGAUUCGGCGCACCCAUCCCGGAAAGGCCACGCCGCCUUCAUUAAAUGCGAGGGACGCCGGGCCAACAACCCCUGACACGUGGCGGAAGGGCCGCGAUUCGAAAUUAAAUUGCCCGUGGCGAUUCGCGUCCCCGAUGGGACGCCUGACAGCGACCCGCGCUCCCAGAACCGAUGCCGGAGGGCGGUUUGUGUUCCCCGAAAGACGCCGGACACCCGAUCGCCUGACACCGGAUCGUCCGACACUCGAUCGUCUGACACCCGAUCGCCUGACACCGGAUCGUCCGGCACCCGAUCGCCUGACACCGGAUUGUUUGACGUCCCGUCAUCGGACGACGGGACACCUGACGUCGACUUGACCGGACCAUCUGCCGGUGAGGUCGGCAAACUCGGUCCAGGACGUAGCAAGGAAUCCACUCCUUUCGCCCAAUGUCCUACCUGCGUGGAGACGCGGGCCAAUGCGACAUCAGGCUCAGGAGUGGGGGGGGCAAUUAUUGGGAUAUACCGACCGACUCCAUCCGACCGACCGACUCCUCCCGACCGACCGCGGGAGACACCGACAGCGACUAUCGAUUGCGCCCCGAUCGAAACGGGUCGGCCUAGCGGCCCCACGUCGCCUCCGAUCGCCUGAGGGCUGACCCCCCGUCGCCGACUUCCCAUCGGAUGGGACGCCGACGACUCACUGUCGGUUUGGAUGGCUGUCGUCCCACCUCUACAGGCCUUCCUAGAUGCCGGAUGAGCGACGUGGGCUGCAGUCCCAUCAAGUAAAUGCCGCACGAACGUCAGGGGGCAUUACCCUGCCAGGAAGCCUGGGGCGCUGUCCUGCUAAGGACGAGAAUUAAUUCCUAGGACCUGUCAACUUUGUCAACGGCAUGACAACUUCCGGCGAUUUGACAACUCUCCAGUUGUCUACAUCACCGACGGCGGGGCCAUACCACCUCCUACUAUAAAUCGGAGAAGGCAACAGUGCUACAGGGGGGCUUCUCGGAGAAAACGCUCAAGGCUUGCUCUCUCUCUCUCUCCCNNNNNNNNNNNNNNNNNNNNUCUCUCCCCGUAGAGCUCCUUGUCUCUUCUUCUCCAUUGCCCAGUCUCCUCUCUGACUUGAUCAUCGGAGGAUCCCCGUCGGAGCUGCCUCCGGUCAGCGCGGACUUUCUUUUGCAGGUACUCGUUCCCGGCGAUCAGGCGACGAGGGGAUUGACCGCAACAGAACUCAUUUAGUAAAUAACACAGUUGCUAAGAAUAUUUUUCCUUUUUCUCUCAAGAAAAACGACAUUGUAUUAAUCAAGAGCACCUGUUACAUUCUUUAACAAAAUGUUGGCAAUGGAAUUAGGGGCUCUUCAAUCCAACUCCAAAUAUCAUCAAUAAAACUUAAAUGGUCGGCCAAAUUAUAGGCUGCUACAGCUGCUUUGCUGCUUCUGUGACGCCUCUUCCUGCCACAAGAAAUUCUAAUAGCGCUGCAUUGAGCUCUAUAUAUCCUUUUCAUGCUUAGCUUAGUACUGCUCACUCUAAUUUUAAGUCUUGGCAAUGUCUAUGCCGCCGGCCAUGCAAAACCCGUUGUGAAUUGGUUCGUAUACUCGACAUAUCUCCAUAUACCUAAUCCUUUUCCUCGAGCUUUUAAACCCCAUGGUCGUUGAGAAACCUGUGAUACCAAACUGCAUCCACAUAAAGUCUUUGGAGCACCAAGACAGUUUCUUUGAAGUUGUUGUAAUUUAUUAACUUGCGUCAAACUUAGAAUGCCACUAGGAAGCAUAGAACUCAACUUAGAGAGCACAUCACAAGACCGGAAAUUUGCAUCCUUGUGACCAUGGACAUGAGUAUUCAUCUGCAUAGCAAGAUACCGUCCACAUUUGAGAACAACUUGGAUAUGGCCAACUUCAUCAAGAGCAUAAGAGAAGAAAAUUGUUCCUAUGAAAGAAAGAAGGUUGGUUGGAGUAGGGUGAGCAUGGUCCGGUUUGGACCGGUUUCAUGCUCAAACCUGAGCUGAACCAGUCCUAAACGGUUUGGUAUUUUUAGAAACCAAACUAUAUCAAUAGAAGAUUGAAAACAAACCAAACCAACAUGAUUUAAAUGGUCUGAUUUGGUAUGAUUUACCGAUUUAUAUUAUUAUUAUUAUUAUUACUAUUAUUAUUAUUAUUAUUAUUAUUAUUAUUAUUAUUUUGUGAUUCAUGAAGACUUGUUUCCUUUUACAUAAGAGUACCAUCAAGAGAAUUUAUCAAGUAAAAUGAUAUAAAUUAAUAUAAGAUAUUGUCACUCAACAAAAUGAACAAAAAUAAACAAUCUAGUAAGUAAGUCACUUAGGAUCUAAAGCUAAUCAACAUCAAACUAAAUUGAUAAACAACAUCAUAAAUUCAAAAUUGUUUUCUAAUACAUUAAUACUCUGACAUAAACAAACAUCAGAGCAAGAAUGGUAGGAGUGUUGCAACAAAUAUGCCAACGAACAUGCAACCAGCAUAUGGAUAUAAAAUACAUUUUCAGUUAAUAUAAGAUGUAUGAAAUCAAAUUUAUAAAUGUACGUUAAGAUUUUACCUAUGCAUUAAGAGAUACGAGAGUUGAAGUUUUACUUGCAGCAUCAAGGCUAAGAUUCUCACAUGCAUCAACCAUACCGGACAACAUAUCUAAGAUGGAAAAUACUAGCUAUUAAAAAAGUUGACCAAUAAUAUAGAGAAGCAUAAAUAAAAUGAAAAAUAUAAGCCAUUAAAUUUUACCCUUUUCGAUUCUUACCUAAUGCUCAGCAUCUUCAAUGGACUGUUUCUCAUCAAUAUGAAUCUUUGAUGAUUUUAACCAAUUUUGUGCACAGAUAAGUGCUUCAACCAUUUUAGCACUAAGAGAACUCCUAAAUGGGUCAAGAAUAUGACCGUCAAUACUGAAGGCUGACUCUGAUGCAACAGUUAUUAUCGGAAUGGCCAAUACAUCUCAAGCAAUUUGGGACAAGACUUUAAAUCUGAAUGCAUUUAACUUCCACCCGCUCAAAACAUCAAAGUUAUUAUCAUCAGAAACAACUGACUCAACCAAAUAGACAUCAAUUUCUGAUUUACCCUCCACACCAUCACUAUCUUGAAUAUGCUUCUUAAACAUCUCCUUUCUAAGAUUGCGAGUUUCAGAUUUAUCCUUCCUCUUAUCUUGCAUGGAAGAAAGAGAACUUUCCACUCCCAUAUCUUGUGGACCUAGACAAGAACCCUUAUAUUGUUCACAUAGUUUUUCGGGAGAUUUUCUAACCUGUUUGCACAAAUUUUCUGCAUAUUCAGAAUCAUACACAUUUGAAAAAUUAAAAGAAAGGUAAACCAUCUUGUAUCGAGGAUCAAGAAUACAAGCAAUAAACAACAAUAUGUUCAUACUUUCUGGCCAUCCCCAAUAUUUAUUAUAUUUUUCCUUCAUCCUCAAUAUCAUGUUCUUUACAAUUGAGUUAGAAUCAUCAUCCGCAAUCAUAGUUUGCAACUCAACAUGAAGUAAGGCUAAUUCUCCAAUAAACAUAUUUGAAGUCAUAUAAGUAGACCCUGAAAACCGUAAUGUCUAAUCAUAAAAGCUACUUAAAAUCUUGACAAUAACAUGUGCCUUAUCCCAAUCUUCAUGCACAAGAGGUCCAACUCUCUUCCCCUCCUCUAAAAAAUAUGAAAAAUAGUUCUCGUCAUCAUGUUCUAACCUUUCAAAUGCCUUUCACAACUUAAGGGCUGAUUCUAACAUCAAAUAAGUAGAGUUCCACCUAGUCAAACAAUCAAGAGGAACUAGAGCAUUUGUUGGUAGUUUCUCCCUCUUUGCACAUUCCAUAAAGAUUUGUUUCCUUUGGGUGGAAGAUUUAACAUAUUUCACAGCAUUGAGAAUACUAAAAAUGGUAGUGUUAUAAUCCUUCAACCCUCAUUUACAAUAAGAUUAAGAAUGUGCGCACAACACCUUACAUACAAAAAUGUAGUAUCCAUGAUAGCACCCUUCCAAUUCCUAAUGAUUCUUUUCAAAUAAGCAACAGCAAUUUCAUUAGCACUUGCAUUGUCAACGAUAAUUGUAAGUACCUUCUCUAUGCUCCACUCUAGCAAACAAGAUUCAAUUGCCCUCCUAAUUGUUUCACCUUUAUGAUUAGCAAGCGGACAGAAAUUAAUAAUCCUCUUAUGAUAUUUUCAUGCAUCAUCAAUAAAGUGACCAGUGAAAGCCAUAAAACUUACAUUUUGGUCCGAUGUCCAUGCAUCGAUGGUCAAACAAAGGCCUUGAGUACCCUAUGACAAAGUAUCCCUUAAUUUUUUUUUUCAUCUAAGGAUAUAACUGGAAAACAUCUCUACCAAUAGUAAAGCGAGAAGGAAUAUUGAAUUCAAAUAAGUUUGUCCUGAUGAAAUCAAUAAAACCCUCUCCCUCUACAAAACGAAAAGUAUGCUCAUCUUUCACUAUCAUCCUAACCACUGAAUCUCUAUAUUUUUUUUGAUCAAAAGCAUAUGCAACCAAUGUCCUUUUCCCUCUCUCCUCAUUCUCACUCUUACUCAUCAGUCCAACUAAAGUCUUUUGCUUUUCAUCAAUGUGCACAUUGUAAAGAAGUUACUUCUUACAUAGUUUAGUCAAGUGAUUAUGUAAUGUACUUGUACCAUUCACAGUCUUAUUAUAUGCAUGCGUCUUACCACAGUGAAUGCACUUACAUCAUGGAGGAUUGCUACCCUCAAUAGGAAGAAAAUGAUCCCAAACUUCAGAAGGUUUUCUGGCUAGCCUUCAUUUUUCAUGUUCAGAUUCAGAAAGCUUGUGUUCUGUAAGCUAUGUCAUAGUUAUAGAGUCACAAUUCUCACAAGAGGCGGAGCAAAUUUCGGUGCUCCUUUUCAUCUAUUGAAGGAAUAAUACAUCGAUCGGGUGCUUGGGAUUGCGAAUUUCGUUACUCAACCAACAAUAGCAACAAUAAUACAUCAUAGAGCCAAUUCCGUUACUCAGCCAAUAAUAACAACAGCAAAAAAAGAGAUCCAAUGAUCGAGUGACAGAGAGAUGACGAGACAUACCUUCACUAAUAGAGCAACGGCAAGAUGACGAGCAACGACGGUCGGAUGGAGAGAUAUGCAUGAGACGAUCGACAAAGAGUAGACCUUCACUAGGACGUGAGUCACAUGAUUCUUACAACGUGCACUCUAUCACUUGCCUAGAUAGUGAUGUAACAACCGAUGGAGAGUAGAGCUAUGAAAGUUACAUAACAAAGAACAAACGGUGGCCGAUGGAUAAGCUAAGGCACAAUCGUCACUCGUCGAGAUUGAGAAGUGAUCAAGUGAGGAUGAGAAUUGAGUGAAGGGCUCAAUCAUUCAUGGUCAUGGAAGCUCCGAAGCCGGGAAGGAAGGAAAAGAUUUAGUAAAACCUCCCCCCCCACCUUCUUUUAUUAAAACCGAUCCAAUUCAAACUUAAAAUCGAUCCAAUUCGAUUUAAAAAUAAUUUUAUUUACCGACAAAUCUGAACUAAUACAAAUCUAUUUUUUAUAUAUCAAAAAUUAAUCAAACCAAACCGAAUAAAAUUUUUAACCAAACUAAACCAUUUCACCAGUUUGAUUGGUUCAAGUUCAGUUUUUGCUCGUCCCUAAGUUGAACUACUGUAGCAACGAAUGCAAGAAAACAAAGCAACAGAAGUUACAUGGCUGAGAAUUGCAUCAGGCAGUAGACAACCAAGUGUCAUACAUGAUCAAAUCAAAUAAAGAGACACGUCCGGCAUGGUAAAACCAGCUCAUAAGGCAGAAAUAUGUAAAUGAUCCAAGCAGUGGAGCUCAGCAUAUCUUUGACCAAGCAGUGGAGCUCAGCAUAUCUUUGACCAAGCCAAAUUGGUUGAUCACCUAGAAGUAUUGCAACGAGAGAUUGUUACCAUGGUUCAUGAAAUAGUUAAGAAAAAGAUCAUUAUUUUGAAGUGAAGGACAAAUGUCUGGCAGCUCCACUUGUGCAAGGGCCAGACAACUUGAAAAGAGAAAUGGCUAGGUGACACUACAGAGGCAUGAAAAUCAACUUCUCAAAAUCGAGCUGUCAGCCUGAAUAAUUAUGAGAAUUAACAAAAAAAUAUCAGCCUGUAGUUUAGAGGUUACCCCCUGUGCACCAACAAAAACUACAAAGCUUUCCAUCAUUUAAAAAUCUCAGAAACAGAACUAGGAAACCAUCAACUUGGGGCAGCACAAACUUUCUUUGCUCAGGCCUUGAUGGACACGGUGACAACUGUACAUCUUAACAAAAAAAAAAAAAAACAUAGGAUGACAGGAUAGUCCCAAAAAAUAGCGACGCUAGAACAACUUCUGCUGCUUUUGCCAAGCUGCUUGACGCACCGAAGGAAAUCCUCAGUUUGAUGUAUUCUUCCUAGCAGCAUAAACCCUGUAAGCAGCCAGUCCCACAACUGCCACAGCAGCUCCAACUGCAACAGCGAACCACAACAAAAUUUCAAUAGAGGCAGCGCAUUCAGAAAAGAAAAUAAAUACAACUAAAGAAGAAAGCCCUCACCAAAAGAAAACGGCAACAAAAUACAAACUGCUUUAUUGGACACAUCAAUCAGCUGAUAAAUUAAAUUAUCAUGAGGUUCAACUUUAAAUGGUAAAUAAAUUACUUUUUUUCCUCAGGGAAACUAUCAAUUAUUGGUGAUGAGUAGAUAUGAAAAUGAGACUGUUUCUUAAUUUUACAUAUAAAUGAUUAGACAUGAAAAUGAGACUGUUUCUUAUUGGUAAUGAGUAGACAGGAAAAUGAGACCGCUAUGUAAACAUGGGACCAGGCAUGGUUUAUUGACAUCAAGAAACAGGUCUAUAAUCCUAUCUGAUUCACACUUAGUUUUAUAAUUCCUUCCUAUUAUCCAAGUCUCCUAAUCUCAAACCACUUUAGCAUGCUAAAAAACCCAUAGAUGGUGGCCAGCAUACCACAACAAAGUUAAUCCUAACCAGAGAUGGCUAGCUCUCGUAUGCUUAUGUUCUCUUGUAUUCAAUGUCAAGAGAUGACAAAUCAAAGUUCUAGAAAUGAGCAAAAGGAAAACAUGUUUUUAAAUUAUAAACUAAAUCAUAAGUAGAUAUUGAUCACAGCUUCACAUUGCAUGUGAUACGAUUUAACAGAAUAAUGAAUAGCUGUGCAGCAAAAGAAAAAAGUGACGCAUGUAUGCAUGUGCAUAAAGAGAACCACAUCCUCUUCCAAAUAAUAAUUAAAAAAAAGAAACAGAAAAAGAAAAAACAACUGUGCAGCACAUAUCACUUUCAAGCAUGGAGUCAGCAUCUUGGGAGAGAGAGAGAGAGAGAGAAAGACUCUUCUAAUAUAAUAAGGCCCUGUUUGGUAUAGCAGUUGGAGAGCCAAAAGAUAUUUUGGAUGAUUUUGAGGUCUUUGGUAAAAAUUUUGAAACGGUAAAAAUUUUGAAACAACUUUCUGCCCCCUAAAAAAAAACAAAAAAAACAAAAAAACUACAAGGGGAGGCUCCAAUUUGGAGCUCUUAGGCAAAAGCUCUACUUGAAAAAACAUGAGAAACUGUUUCCAUUUUAAUGAAGAUUCUGCUGAGACAUAGAUUAAUCUUUUUAUAAUUAAAAAAAUAUAAUAUUCUAAUAAUAUAAUAUUAUUAAUUACUAUAGUAUUGUACAUCAUAAUACAAAUAGAAACAUAAAUAUAUUUGACGAGCAAUGUAUAAUACAUAUAUAGAAAACAAAACAAGGUUUGAAAUAGCCCUACCAAUAUGCUAUGAACAGGUACAGCAUGGUAUCGUACUAACACAUGGUGUGCCAAUUGAUGCUAAUAUCGCAUUAGGAAGUUAUGUACCAUACAUUUGCAUGGACUAGUACUAACAAGCCACUAGUACAGAUACCUUGCCAGUAUGGCUAGUAUGCACCAAUAUUUAAAUCCUGGGAACAAACUCUAAUGAACCAUUAAUUGUCUAGAUGAAGAUCUGCAAAACAAGUACCAAGAACUUGACUAGUACAUUACCCCUCUGGUAGGAUAAGGUCAGUGUGGUAACAGAUGCAUCCUGUACGAUAGUCCUCCAACACUUUUCUUCACUCUCAGCCACACUAAUGCCCAAUUCUCGGUACAUUAUUGGUUCACUAUAGUAUGGCCGGGUACGGUGAAGUAUACAUCCCGUACAACAAGCUUUCCAACACUUCUUUUUACCCCCAGCCAUGGUACUACAUGAAACCAGGAGGUAUGGAAUGGUUCCGCUUGGUUUGGACCGGUACAGACCUGGCUCAUAUACCAAAAUGAACCUCAAUAUCUAGUACAGUACGGUCAGUACAAGAUGAUAUGGAUCAGUAACCUUGGUCUAGACUUUUUGUUUAUACAAAAGGUUGAUUGGCAAUUUAUCUAGCAGACAAAGACUAAUGUUUAGGCAGCAAACUAUGGCCAACUACUAUAGAAGAAAUUGUUUGCCAUUACAUACAGCAAAUGAUCAAGAUGGACAUGAAGGACACAUGGAAAUGGAUAUAAAGAGCAAACAUAUAAAAAUGCAAAAUACUUGCUAUUUACACAGCAUAAAAAGUUGUUUACAUUUUCAGAUAUUUCAUCAAUUUGGGAAUGAAAUUAAACGAUCAUGAACGCAGUUCUAAAAGGAGCCCCUAUUGAGAAUGACCAUAUAGAACAACAUACACAUUUAUAACACCAAAAGAAAUCAACCAACACUGACUAUAAGAAGGUAGCAUACAACAAAUUAACUUAUACAGUGAACAGACAAAUUUGUAUUAAAAGAGAAUUCCAAAAGAAUAAACAAUCAUUUGCCAAAUGUAAAAUUUCCUUCGUUACACUGCUAGCAGAAACCAGAUAAGGGACAGUGAAACUUGGGCAACACAUGUAGCAUUACAUUUUCAGGGACAUGACAUCAACUGGGCCCUACAGAAAAUUUCUAAGUUUCGUGGUAACAAUAAUAAUAUUGCUUUUUCAAGGUCACAUAAAUCGUCAAGUCACAUGACUUCUAUGGUUAACUUAUUAAUAAGUUAGAAAUCUGAAGAAUAUAACUAAUACCAACAGAUAUAUCACCUAAUUUUUUCCUGAUGUAACGGACUCAAAGAAUUUUAGUAGAUGUGGUUUUGCAUAACCAAACAUUACCAUGCAAAAUGAAUAUUUGCUAGCUAUGGUAGGUGUUCCAUGAAGAUAACAAUACCUGAAACAAACAUGAGGGAACGAUUUACAAGCCGGCGAUAGUGCUUGCGGUUUCUUCCAGCUUCAGUUUCAGGAAUGCUCAGAUGGGGAUGCUGUGCAGCAGUAACUAUUCUAUGGAAUACAUUAUUGAGAUCUCUUAACUUUAUGCUGAUAGGUAUAGGUGUCUCUAUUCCCAUCUCCUGGCUUACCUGAAGCAGAAUAAGUGAAAAAAGGUGCAUUUAGCAGAUCAGCGAAAUGCAGACCACAGAAGCCAAGAAGAUCGGUUAUUUACUGAAGGUGCGCAAUUAAGUAAACAGAGAAGAGUAAGAUCAGUGAGAGAUACCAGCAUGAGAGCUUCCAGUGCACUAUUCAAAAGUCAAAAGAAAAAAAUGUUGGAACAAAAUUCAGCAUAUUAAAUGUAAGUAACAACGAACAACAUCAAAAUGACAACCACGUGCAUGGUUGUGUGGUGGAAAUAGAAAUAACCUCUUAAUCUGUAUAAGGCAAACAUUCUACAGGUACCAUUUUAAUAUUAGUUUAAGCAAUACAAACUAUGGCCUCGAGAAUAAACAUGGAUAAAGUUGUGAUUUUCCACAUAAGAAGGCAGAAUAAAAACAAGACUUCAAGAUACAGUCACAAAUUACAAAUGCCAAAGGAACCAAGAAACAUAACAUACCCUUGUCAAAUCCUGUAUGGCCAAGGGAUAUGGAUCAAGAUCAUCCUUAGCAGAAACAAUAAGGCAAGGAACCUCAAAGCCAGUAUUUUCUCCAUGACUAGCAACUUGCACAAGCAAAUCUUUGGCUUUCCUCCAUGAAUUCUCAUCCGAACUGCAGAAACAAGAAAGCACACAUCAUGAGCAUGCUAUGCUACAAAUGGACUUGCAAGAAAUAGAAUGAUUCAAUAAUUACUAGAAAAGAAAUAAUUGGGAAUUUAAUGUCGAAAACCUAGAUCUCGAGGCAAAAGGGGUACCUUACUAUUAGUUUAAGUACACAAAUUAGGUCAGCCCAUAUGUGGAAGAAUAAUAACAGCAACACAUGCCAUAUGAUGUAGCAAGAGAACUCUCUGAAGUUUAGGAACCACACAGCCAUGAAAUGGGCAACAUGAAAUACUUAUUGUAGAAUAUACAAUAGUCUGUAGCGGUGACUCAGUGUCCCAAAAUUUCAUUUUUUGUGAUCCCUCGACAAGAAACAAAUCCAGCAUAAUAUUGGUCACCGGUAUACAGUCAAACAGCACACACACACACACACAUGCAAGCACGAACGUACACAAAGACCCGUCAGCUAAGCUAGCAAACUUCCUGAGAAGUAAACACUUCUGUCUUCUCCUCGAUGAAGUGACAAUCUUCUUCACUUUGAAUACUUCUCCAAUGAACAAUUGGAUAUAUUUGCAAUAUAUACAGCUUGAUUAUUACAAUGCAAACUCGGUGAUUUUUCAACCAUGAUCUUUAACUCAGCUAGAAGUGAUUUAACAUGAACAGUUCCCACAAUACGUUGCCAAUGCAAGAUACUUGGAUUCUACAUUCUACACUAGAACUAAUUGAAUGCUUUUUCUUGCUUCUUGAUAAUACCAAUCAUAGUUCUCUAUCAACAAAGAGCUGAAUUUGCAUCAGGAAACAUCUCAACACAAGAUCAUUUUUGCCUUUCAUAUAAUGUGCCUUGGAAAGGAGCCUUCUUCCAAUAUAGCAGAUAUGUAUCAUUGCAUCAAUAGAUCCUUGCAUGGCAAAGCCAUCUUUGGAUAUCGUAAAGUAAAAAUGAAGUGCUCAUAUAAAAAGAUGUCACAUAGAGCUCGUUGACAUCCAUUUAAAAAAAUAAGAAAGAAAUGGUGAUAACCGAAUAAGGUUUAGGAGCAAUCUCAAAUAUUUAGGAAGGAAUCUCGAUAAAGAGGUUAAGGCAAAGAAAUAUGGAGAGAUCAGCCUUAUGAAAUACUUCAGGAUGAAGUAAAACCUUAAAGUUGUCAAAGUUAAAACAGUCCACUACAUAUCAAAAUUCAGAAAAUUGAUUUUUGCUUUGGUUUAGGAAAAUGGGUUUCCAUUUCAGCAUCUUAGGUUAUUUUGGUUGAAAUUUUCAAAUUAAGGAACAACUAAAAUUAAGAACAAAGGAGCCAGAAAUAAAAAUAAAUUUACUCAAGAAAAGAACAAAUAUAACUAAAAAUAAUAUUAUAUUAUUUGGGACCUUAAGAUGUAUAGUUUUGCAGUAGUGCACUAGGACAAUCAUAUAAAAUAAUUUGCAAACUAUAAUGUCAAAGAUCAUGUUUGGACUAAAAUAUAUCAUUUCACUUUUUGAUGGCCAUUCACCAUAUAAAAAUCUAGAUGUUUAUAACAUCUAAAGUUAGAAUUGAUCCAAUCCGAGAGAGAAAAUUUCUUUCAACCUGCUCAACUUAAAUCUCUUAAAAGAAAACUGAAAAAAGAUGGAAGAAUUGCAAAAGUAGGGCUUAAAUUUUCUUUUCUUUCAUGGAUUAAUUCUCCACACAAACCAAAGUACAUAUCCCCUAUUUAUCAUAGUGAGGUCUGCCCUUGCACAUUUCAAAUUAGAUUUCUCUUUCUAGGUUUUAGAAGGACAUCCACCCUGGGAUGUCUUUGAACAAUCUGGGUCGGAUUCCUCUUCCUAAUUCAAAUAGGACUAAGCCCCUAAAAAAAAUGAUUAAUAUAAAAAAUCAAGAAAAAAUACUAAAAUUCCAUGGAAGAUAGAUCUUGAUUUUUAUAUCAAUUUUAUCUUCUAUUAUUCCACCUAAUUCUUCAUGGAUUUGAAGAUAACCUCCGAUCAAAGUUUUUUCUGAAAAAGAAAUUUUUAGUUUGACCAACCAGAUUUAAGGCCUAAACAAUGAAUUUUGAUCCGAUUCAGCCCGUUGGGGGGUGGCCCAAAGUUAUAAAUCUUAAAAAGAUAUCCAUUUUUUUUUAAAAAUAUCAUCUCAAUCAAGAAUUGUGUGAUCAAAUUUUGGCCACCUAAAGUUUAACACACGGUUUGGCAAACUAAUGUGGUGAAUCUUGCUCCUAAACCCUAUCCAACCCUAUUCGUAGUGGUCAAAAUAGUCCAUAUUGAGUCCUUAUAGGGACCAAACUGAUCCACAUUGAGUUUGAUGACCCUCUUGGAUACCCGUAGUACUAAAAUAACCCAUAUCGAGUCCUGCUUGUGGCCAAAGUGAUCCACAUCGAGUCUGGUGUUCCUCCUGAAUAUCUGUAAUGGCAAUGAUGCACAUCAAGUUUAGUGAUCCACAUGGAUCAAGAAUAGUGAGAGCAAUACAUUCUUUGGGCAUUGCAAUGCUUCCAAAUUUCUCAAAAACUUACAAAAUUCUAUGUUUAAUCUAGAGAAAAUAAUUCAUUAAGAAAUGAAGAAAAGGCAAAAACAUGGCAUAAACAGAUCAUGAAUACAAUGACUUUGGCCAUAUAGGUUAGUUUCGGCCAAAACUCCAAGACCAACUCCAACUUGGCCACAACCAAAUCCAUGAUACAUAAGACUGAUGGCCUUAUAACUUAUCAUCAAUAAGUUAUUGCCUAGUAACCUACAACAAGGUUGUCCUUAAAAAUAUGGUGUAUAAAAAAGGGAAAAAAUAUGAGAGAUAAUGAAACAUAUUUAUGGAUUCAUGAAGUGUUUUAGAAAAAUAAUGGUGGUGGAAGAGAGAAGCAAAUAUAAGAAACGAAAGGGAAAUUUUGCCAACCUAGCAGGUUAAGACAUGAUGACUCUAAUCUAAUUAAAGUAACCAACUAACAAGUUUUGCUUGUUAUAGUGGCUAUUCACUAGCAACCUAUUAAACAAUGUAAAUAGAUCCCGAACCAAUCUCGUAGAGCCCAAUUCCCAACAAAAGAAAAAAAAAAGAGAAGAAAAAAGCCACUCCUUAGUAGCUCACCAUCAUGUGAAAUGACAUAAUGCAGUCCAUUCCCAUGUACAAAAGUAGUUUACCUAGAAGCAAUUAAUAACAACCCAAGAUCUCAUCCAAAAAGACUCGCCAGAAGAUGUUAUUCAGGUUCCUUGGCCCUGUACAAGUGCCUAAGAUCUACUUGGGCAUAGCUGAUGUAAGACUAAAUACAUGCUUGCACAGAUCCUCAUAUACUCUCUCAGUUCAAGCGCCGACAUGCUCACCAAGCUAGGAUACCAAAUAAAUUCAUAUCCGAUCACAAAUAUUGUAAAUCCAAUCACAAACACCACAACCAACUCAUGGUCAAUCCAAGUAAACAUGUCCUAUAAUGUCUCCUAGUCAACAUGGGCCAUGAACUAAGUCUACUCUGAUACUACUUGUAAGAACCCAAGAUCUCACCCAAAAAGACUUGCCAAAAGGUGUUGUUUACGGUCCUUGGCCCUAUACAAGUACCCAAAAUCUACCCAAUAUAUGGCAAUGUGGGGCUAAACACAUGCCCACACAAGUCCUCAAAGAGUCAAUGCAAAUAAACAAAUACCCGUUAAUAGCCACGGAAUGACCACCUCGGCACGGAUUAUUUGACUACGAUAGACAAAACAAAUGAGGUGACUGGGAACUUAAUUAUGAGAGUAGAUUAGCUUAUUAUUCAUCUAUAUCUAUGUAAAUUAUCAAAAGGUGAUCCUCUGUUGCCAACUUAAAAUUGGGAUACAUCUAAAUACUGUCUGAACAGAAACUGGUAUUGCAAACACUUACACUACUCAAGCUCACCACUCUAGAGAAUAUAUGGCAAUUAACCUAUCAAACAUACAACAUGAAAACAUACAGUAAGAUGGGCAGGUUUAGUACCUGUCAUGAACAAAUACAGCUAUGUCACAAGGUGCUAAGGACUCCUUAUUAGACAGCACCAUUUUGACGUCAUCUUCUGGUACCUCCCGCAUUACUAGUGUCUUUUUUAUCCCCUUAAAAAUGAAAUCAAAUCAUGUAAUUAGAUAGAGAAUAGAACCAAAACUCCCCUAGUGCAGCGGAAUGACAUGCAAGAGACUCUUUAAUGCACUCAUUAUAUUACAAUGUAUUCUAUAUGCUAUCCUUUAUGCCAUGCAAAAGAUUCAGUCAUGGACUUGAAGCAUCUCACUACCAGAAAAUAUAUCAUCAUAGAACAUAUCAGACAGCAACUCAAGGGCAAAAUCAAUGUAAACAGAUCAUAUGAACUAUUUAAAGUUUUCAUGCACAUAAAAAGAAAACUGGUUUCAUGGGCACCAUCUGCAUGAAUAGUAAGACAAUAGAAUGCUGAAAACCAGGAAGAAUUUAAGCUAGAAAUAUUAUUACUAACUUAGACCAAAUUCAACUAGUGGCAGUCAAAACCUCUUAACAGUUUAACAGUUAAUCUACAUAAGAAACUCAUCUACAGCUCGAAACUAAUGAUACAUUCUAAGUCACCUAUGGCAUUUGUGUUGACAUCACUAGAAUGCACCAAUAGGUAUCUUUACUCAUAAAUACAUAUCAAAUACAAUGUAAUUAAUAUAAUAGAGUAUGCUAAUCUUGAAAGUAACAUAAUAAGCAUCCAGAAUUUGUGGAGUAGGUGCUAAGAUGCUCCAUCAAUCAAGGCAGAAAACUUAAUGUUAUGACUCAACAGAUACUAUUACAACAUAUGGAGAUCUCCAGUGACAUCAUAUUUAAAGCCAUAAAAUUAACAAAAUAGUUUCGGUAUUCACAUAAAGUUGCACGAUGCUGAGGAUGGUAAUAAAAAAUAAUCAGCAAUGCAACUAGUUGAUCAAUUGCUUUUUUUUUUUUUAAAAAAAAUCUCAUUAGCAUUUCUAAUAUUUUAAUAUUAACAUUUACAAUAACUGUACAGUAAAAUGAAAUUAGUAACAAGUUAUCUUAGAUAAUAUUUCCAGCUGCUGGGCCUGAUAACAACAAUCACAACUACUGUCAAAACUGAAUUUUUCAUGUUUUAAAGGAGCAUCUGAUUAAGUUUUUAGAAAAAAAGUUAAAUCUAAAAAGGUUCAAAGAAAUCUAGUCCAUUUAAAAAUCCCCAAAGUCUAAAUUUUUUAAUUUUAUACCCAUGAUUAUGAGUCCAUUAUCUCACUAUUACGUAACAAAGGAAAUACAUUCAAAAAUAGAGAAAACUUAGACUACAAAUAGAAAUUUCCCCAAAAAAAAAAAAAUUGUUUGCAAACUAUUGAUUAACCCUGCACAAUGCUAUGGAUUAUAAUUUAUGUAUACAGUGCAUGCUUCAAUAUGAUUAGAAAUUCAGAUACAGGAUGUGCAGACGUUACAAGGUUUUUUUUCCAAAGGACACUAUCAUCGUAUAUGCAUGACAACAUGUUGGACAAACACACAACCAAAAGAACAUUGGACAACUCCCAUGGUAUAAAUUCAAAUUAUAAGAACAAACUUUGUACUUGAUGCAUUACACCAGAUCUGUUCAUACCAUAUAAACAUAAUUUUUAACCUUUGUGCUAGCCAUCAUUGCACUGGCUUAAAAACCAAGAGGUUUACCCAAUUUUUUUUUGAAAAGUAUAUAACAGAAAGCAGGCAAAGUACAUAUAAGUGCUGUGGUAGGGCAAAUGCAUCCUCAGGGCAAGAAAGAAGUAAACUGAUGUGCCAUUUUCAGUAUGGAUCCUUAUACCAAAAGCUAAUGUUUAAUGAGAUUAUAGGUAUCUUGGAAUAUUACAGGACAAAAACAUGGAAUAUGAAAAAUAAAGUACAGUAUGAAAUGGAGUAGCUAAAGAAUAUGCUAAUCUAUGAUUCUUGAAACAGAGAGCAUAUGGAAAGAACAGUUCCAAUUUUCAAACCAGCUUAGAUUGAAAAUAUCUUCUAUCUAGGAAAGGCCCUAAAUAGUUAAGCACUAGACCUAACCUACUUUCAUCAGCAAGGAAGAAUCCCUGAUAAAUGUUAGAGAACUCAGAGCAAGUUGAUCUCCAUUUCAUGGCGCUUUCCAAUGCAGUUUCAAUAAUUACUGUUUUCUAUUAUCUCUAAUACUAAGAUCUUAGUGGACUGCAUACUGAGAUAUCUCACAUCACUAUGUGUUUUACAUUAUCACCAACAAAUAAAUCAUAUUUGUAGAAUAAUAUAUUUUUUAUUUAUAUAGAAAUAGUUCUACAUUCACACUAAGUUUUUUUUUUUUAAUUUCCUUUAUUUUUAGUGAUUUUAAACUAUUUUUUAGAUUUAUUUUUUAUAUUUCCAUAUUUAACGCAUAUAAUCAUUUGGGCUUGUGCUUAAAGACAAAUACGAAAAUCACUUCUGAGAAAGGAUAAGAGUACGUAUUGGGACAACAGUUCCAAAUGGUUAUGCGGUGCAUCAUGCUUUAGUAUCUGCCUGUACAUAGAAAUGCAAGAAUAGAAGUGGCCUCAGAAAGCAAUUUAAUAUGUGGGAAAUAUACACAUAAAAAUUAGCAUAUCCAUGAUAGUAUCAUAACCAUUUUAGAGAACCAAACAAAAAAAAUCUGUUCUUGUAAAUAUGGUGUUCAAAAAUUAAGUUACUCAAAUAUAAAGCAUGAGUUAUGUAACAUGUUUGGGUGGGUGAAAAGAAAAAAUAAGGGUGGUUGGGGAGUCCCAGGUGACAUGUAUAAGAUAAUCAGGGAAAAAAUCAAUAAUGUUUCUGCACCAAGUCAUACUUACUCCUGGCAGUUCUACAAUAUUUGCUGCAAACCGCUCGCUGGUUGUUGGUGUGUAUUUCUCAGGGAAUGUUCUAAACAUAAAAAGUAGAAGUCAAAAGCAAUUACAGAAAAGACCAAUGCCUGAAUAGAUAGAAGUAAUUAAACUUGAUGCAAUUUUCAAGAUAACAAAAUGAAGACAGGUUAAACUAGAGAGAAUCUGGAAGAAACUUACCUCCCUACAAGUGCAUUUAACAAUGCAGAUUUUCCAGCAUUUUUAGGACCAAAGACAAAGCACUGAAUAACAUUUCUCUGGGAUUGUUGCCGUUUACGGUCCAACCUCCUUUUUCUGGUUAUAUGAAAUGCUGAAGCAGCAUCGCCAGGGUAUCCAAUGUAUAUCAGAUUAGCAAGACUACCUGCUGGGUCUAGAAGUGUCAUGAGGGCCCACUGCAAUUGCAAGGAUUUUACUUAGUAAAUGAGCGACAGAACAAAAACUUUCAAAGUUCCAAGUUUUAAUGGGAAAAAUUACAAGACAAUAAUAUGGUAAGUGUAUAAUCAAAAUGAAAGCACUUUUAUAGCACAAAUUACAACCAUUAGCAGUACUAAGUACAGCUAAACUUCAAUUAGAUGUAUCAUGUAAUUUAUCAGUGCCAGAAACCAAUGAAACUGUUAGUUUUUUUUUAAAAAAAAAAAAAAAGAAACCACUUUACCCUCUGACUCUGUAUUAAAUUUAUUUAUCUCUGGUUCCAGGCAUUUAAAAGUUUAAUUAACUUAAAUAGAAAUAUUCAUGCUUGUGAUUACAUAUACAAGUUUGAUUACCAUACAGUGUUCAGGAAAACUAAGUCAUCGUGACAGUAUUUAAUUAAAAUGUGCUAAACAGAAAAAAAAAAAAAAAAGAAUAUACAGCUAACCAUAUAUAGUUAAUUCAAGGACUAGGAUAAAAGAUUUGGAAGCCAAAUGAAGCACAGCAAGACAUUUAGCCAAACGUCCAAAAGAAGGGUUUAAAUCUCAGCACCAAACCUUAUCUCAGUUUGCUACUGAGACAGUACAGAAUCCAGAUGAGACAAUACUGUUGGAACAGACUGAAGCUCAUUAACAGCCAAAAAAAAAAUGGUUUCACAGUCCAUUCCAAAUGUCCCCAUGCAUCCAAGCGUUGGGAUGCAACUGGGAUAGUGGGAACAUCCUGAUUCAAGAGGAAACCAGUGUCUUGUGUCCAUCCCAAGUAUCAUUAUCUUCCUGGAUCGGUACACUGUACACUACUGGCAGGAUGCAUCGAUACCAUAGGGACAUGAAACCUUAGUCCCAACCAAAAGACAUUCAGUUGAAAAUGGUUUUUAAUGCGUAAUCAUAGCUAAUUUCUCUGUCUUCUUUCAAUGUAUUCAAAUUCCCAAAAGUUCUUCCUAAAGCUUAAACCUAGAUGGCUUAUAAUGCAAUAUUAAUUGUACAUAUAGGUAAUUUUUCUGUCCUCUUUCAAUGUAUUUAAAUUUCCAAAGUUUUUCCUAGACAUUAAACCAAGAUUUUGAAAGUCCAGAAAAUUCAGAAACACCUGGACAAUUGGAUCCAAAAAAUAGAGAAGUAAUUUGUUGACAUGGUUUUGGCUAUCCUACAACCCAAUAUAUAGACAUUUAAUUGCUCUGUGUUACAUUGUCACAAAAAGAAAAAAGAAGCUUAUACUAAAAAUUAUUGUGAAAAUUGAUUUUCUAAUUAUUUCAUUGCAAAUACAUAACAUUUUAUUGUUUCAUCAGGAAUAAACCAUAUAUCCCAAAGAACACGAAGAUAUUUUGAUGCCUAAAUGCCUAAUUUAUUUUCUUGACUUGCUUUAUUGUUCUUUACCUUUUCUUCUUUUUUGUAGAUCUUGACAAAGUUGGGCAAGUAUCAAAUCUGGAGCUGAACUGAAGAAACUGGAACUAAUUGGCUCAGCUAAUAGCCACAAGAGAAACUGAAGCUAAGUUUUCAAGCGUUGGAUGGAAGAACUCAAUAAAAAUGAAGCUAUUAGAGAAAGAAUGGUUGUAUAUGAUAGUAAAGGAGCUUCCAAGCUUCCAGUAUGCAACAUGAAUAUGACGUGCCAAAUGCAAUACCAGUACAUUACCAGCAUAAAAACACAAGCAUAUUCAAUGUUAAUGUGGACCUAGAACUGGCAGCCAGAUUAUGUGUUAUAUGUUACAUAUUUAUUUAAUAUAUUUGUCCUGUCGAAGACACAUUAAAUAAAUAUGAUAUUAAAGAUCAUUUUUAAGAACUCAAUGAGAUAAAGUUGAAUCUGAACAGACAUUGAUCAAACACAGCAGAUUCUUCCUUUCAUGACAAGUCAAAGCAUCAGUACAAAUGCAUACCUUCCUACAUAUUAAUUUAUCGGCUAGCAUGAAAGUCCAUAAGAGCAUUUAAGAGGUUUGUUAAACAGAAGGUCUGAAAAUUGUAAUGAUUCAAAAGAAUCCAUUUUUUACUAAGCUCGAGAGUUAACAUGUUAUUUAGAACAACGCAUAUUAAUUAACACAUAAAGAACUCAAUCACCAAACUUGCUGCAUAGAAGAGCAUAAAAAAAAGGCAUAAACUAAACCACCACAUAUACAAGAAGUGCAUGCUUUUUCAUAGUUUUCACAGGAGAUUAUAGCUUAUUUUUUUAGAAGAUCUUCACUAGAUUUUGCAAACAAGCUGCAUCAAUUAACAGAAAAUCUAUUAAAAAGAUAAAUGUUCGAGCUUUCAAGCAAUCAUAAAACAAGUAAAAAUUACAUCACCAGGACAGGAACUAUGGAAGAAUGAAAUAAAAACUGACGUUCGACUUAAGGCUAUAAAGACAUUUUAUGUGCAUUAUCAUGCCAAAGGUAAUCAAUAGUGAGCACCUCGGAAAGAAAUCCUUCAAGUGACAAUCCUCCUAGCACGUUCUUUUCUGCAGCAUCCUUGUAAGGAGCUUCAGACCAAGGGCUGUAGCAGAUAAGAAAAUCAUAAGAAAACUACAAUCAAGAAUACAUAGAGUUGGAUAACUAAAAUCAAGAACAUAUAGAGUUGGCUAAAAAUUAAACAUGUGAACAGGCACUUAAAACAGUAAACCAGAUUAAUCAAUUUUUUCAUGAUUUUAAAGACAAUAUGUUUCCAUUGACUUCUAAGUAUAGCAAUUUUUACACCAAUUACUGCUGCGAACAUCAAUUGUAUGAAUAGAUCAUAACAAAUGGUGAAAAAAGUGGCUUCUAUAUGAGAAGUUCCUACAUCUAUAAAUACAAGGUGAAAGAGAAUUAGCACCAAAUACACCUUACAAUGUGGCUUCUCCUAGUCAAAGAUAAACUAAAUGGCAACUUUUAUUGUCAAGUAACAAAUGCUUGCAGACGGUGACUUGCUUACAGUAAACAAUGAAACUAGGCAGUCCAUACAAAGCAAAGAAAAAAAGAAUAAUAAAUUAGCUUCUACUUUGAGAGAACAGUAUUUACCUCUCUGGUGCAGUUGAAAACAGAUCAUCAAGUUCAGCAGGUCGCAGAGCCCCAUCCUGUUAGCAAAAAAUACAAACAGCCAGAACAGGAAACUAUUAGGCACAGCAUAAAAAGCCCAUGGAUUUCUGCAGCUUUAUUAAGAUCAGAUUAACAAUCCCCCCCCCCAACCACACUCCCCCCCCCCACCCCAAAAAGAGACAGGCAUGCAUAUGCAUGAAUACUGAAAUAACAAAACAAGCAACAGAUUGCUAAAAUCCAACCUGAACGAGAAAUGCAUUAAGCAUAAGAAAGACUAAAAGUCCUUGAAAAGCCAAAACCAUACAAAGCACUGAAAUUAUUGGCUUGUUGGAAAAAAAAACACUGGCUUUUUCAUGCUUUAAUUUGAAACAAUUAUCUCAAUUGAUCUCUCCAAUUAUUAAUUAACAAGAAGGCAAAAAAUUUCUGUGCUUCUUGGAUACAGGAAACCAAUAAACAUGUGGGAAUUCAGGACUUUGAGUUACUUCCGAGAGUGAAAAUGUUCUUUGGCAAGUGGUGGCCAGAAAGAGCUUUAUGGCUUGAAAACGUAAAGCAGUCAAAGUUUCACAAAAUUGUCAGUGAGAGAAGCAGCAAAUGUUCCAGUUUCUUUCUUCCAUUUGUUGACUCAGGAUGUAAUAUAAUUACCAAAAAUAAAUAACUUUUGAAACAUUACAGCAGCAGUCAAUUCAGCACUUUUGACAAAGCAUAAUGACAAGAUUUACUCCACAGAUUGUGUAGGAAAUAAUUCAUUGUAAUUGGAAGAUGGCAUUACCUCACAGCAAAAUAAACAACAAUCUGGCAGAAGCCUAGAUGCAAAGCUGAUAACCAAAAAGUUUAUGUAGAAGAUUGCUAAUAUAAGAUAUGAUGAAUAUACAAAGGGGUUCAUGCAAUUGGAAUAUUAGAGGAAUAGGUAAGGUUUAGAUGAAGAAGCUCUCACAAGAAAUAUGUCAAGUCCAGAGUUUACCUUGGAGGUUUGUGUUAACUAUUAAAGAAACUAUCUGAUUCUACAAUAUAAUAGUUAUCAAGUUAAUUGCUAACAAUUGAGCAAGUAAGUUUACUUGGUUGACUUCUGCAAUUGACGAGUAUGGCACAAGAAAAAAAUGAAAACAUAUGGUGGCCUAUAAUCCUCUAAAGGAACAGAAGGAGAAAACUGCAAGGAAUCAAUAACUAUAAGAUCUAGAAGAAGAUCUCAAUUGUCCUAUUUGAUUGCCAAGGUUCACAUGAUUAGCUGACAUUUUGAAUUAGAUCAAUGAUAAACUUAUUGAUGCUCCUCUAAAAGAUCAACUUUCUGCUUGGACGCUGUGUUACCUGGCACUCACAUCCACACGCAUCAGACACUUGGACACUUUAUUAAGGUUUUUUGAUCCAAUAAUGAAUUUAAUCCCCUAUUUUGAUGUUAGGAGUGAGUAUUUAUUCCUUUUAGAUCAAGUAGGAAGUGAAACAAAUUUGCAAAAUAUUAUUUUUCUUAUAUCCUUUAUUCAGUCGAGAUGUUUGAAUGAGAAACAUGCAUGUUGAAAGAUCUUAACAAAUAAUAUAUUUUUAGUUUUUUUUUUAGCAUUUAAAUAAACAAAUAUACCAAGGGGUGUGUGUGCGUGUGUGUAAUUUAGUUAAAAUUAUAUGUUAAUCUAAAUAUCCCCAUAUCAUCCUUCCUCCCUCUUGUCGAGUCAGACACUUGAAUAUGCAUCUAAAUCCAAUUCUUGUAUCUGUGUCCAUGAAAAACUACCUCAACAAAUCUCAGGAAUAAUUCAUCCUCACUCAAAUAUAGAGGUUCUUGAUCAUGAUCUACUAAAUUGAAGUUAUUCUUAUUUUUUCAGAUCUUGAUAAGACAUGUGUUUUUUUAUCAUGCCUUCAUCAUCCAACUGAUAAAAAGAUACUAGCUAACCAUGCACCUUUGAGAUCGAGAACAUGUGGUUCAUGUUUUGUAAUUUUUAUGGAAUAAUAAAAUAUUGGGGGCAAGGUCCGCAGAACCAAUACCAAGACCCGUGUCGGCCAGCAGUUCAAGUCCAUAACGGACCGAACAACGCGAACCAACAUAGAAGCAAAGAAAAAAAUCAGGAAGCAGGAAAAGAAAGAAAGUGGGGAGGGAAGGGGGAGGGAGAAAGAGGGUGGCCGGAGGAGAUGCCGGCGGUGGGCACAAGCGGGCCGUGGACGCGCUCGAAGGACCAAGGCCUUCGCUUCCUCUGCCAAAUCGCAGCCGAAGAGAGAGAGAUAAAGAGAGGGGGGAGGGAAAGGAGGAAGGGAGAGCCAACGAAGAGACCGUCGGAAGGCCUCUGGCUGUCAUGGCUGUCAAAAGGCAAAAUUGCAGUCCGCAGCUCUACGAGCAUAAAAUAGAAGCGAUCGCCCCUGUUGUGAAGUCGGCAAUAGAUUUGCCGACUUCACUUAAGUCAAGCCGGCACAUCUAUUACCAGCUUCACUAUUUUUUCGAUUUUUUUAAAAAAUUCUUGAAACAGUGAAGCCAGCAAAUUCAUUGUUGACUUUAUUAUUCAUCAUCAUUUUAAAAAAAGUGAUAAACAAAAGAGGUCACCCCCAUUCCACAGCCGCAGAUCCGCCCGCACCUUUUCCGAAGCCCGAUGGCCACAACGCUUGCCUGAUGCCCUCCGACGGCCCCUCUACGAACUAUGCCUCCCUUUUGUACCCUUGCUCCCCCUUUCUCUCUCUCUCUCUCUCUCAAUUAAAUACUCUAUCGAGCAACAUAGAGCCAUGGAGGCCUCUGCUGCCCUCCGACAGCCUCUACAAGCCACCACCGGCCCUCUAAUGGUGUCGUCCCCUCUUCUCUCUCUUUCUCUCUUUCCCUCUUCCUCAUUCAGUAUUUCGAUUUAGAAAGCCAAACCAUCCCAAUUUGAGGCCGAUAUGGCUUGGAACACCCCGAACCGCCCGAUUCGAGAUAGUUUGGCAAACCAUGACUGGGGGUGCAUCUGUCAAGCUAGCAAAAUUUGAUCAAGAAUAGAAAAAGAACUCUUGUCUAUCAAAAAUUAUCGCAAAUGUGUAGUGAACAUAAUUUGGAUCAGUCAAGCUACAGUUAUGGAAGCCAUUUUCUAGGACACAAAGCCUGAUGAAGAAAUUUCUCUAACAUAAGAAACAAAGCAUAUUGCUAUAUGAAUAAGUUGUAAAUAUUAUAGCUUUGACUUGUUAAACAUAUAAUUACAUCAUAUAUCUAAGAAAUCAGUAAAGAAUUGAAAGCAUACGAAUUUGGCAGCAGAAUUCUUUAAGCUAUGAGAGAAAUUAUAAAACUUUUAGUAGAAUUUUUAAAUAAAGCAGAAAAUCAUGUAACUUUUGGAGAGGGAGAUAGAUAUUACAAGACUAUGAGCAAGAGGGAGCUUUUGAUAUUAUCUAGGAAAAAGAAACUAUAAAGUAAAUCAUACUUUGUCAAUAUCAAACACGAAGAAAAUUCCUUUCAAGAACUCCACAGCUUCAUUCGUUAGCUCCACACUCUACAAAAAGAUACAAAAUAAAAAAAUGAGCAUCUGUCUCAUGAAUCCUAUGCACAUUUAUCAUAGUAAUAAGAGCAACUAUCUUCCUCCCUUCUUUUCAGGAAUUUCAACAAUUAGGGCCAAAGAUUCACCCAUAAGGGCCUGAGUAUGAUAUUUGACCUUAUUUCAGAAUCAAUGUUUUGUUUUCUAUUUUACAAUAACAUAUUAAAUCAAUAUGUAUCUUUUUUUAAGCUAGUGCAUAAAUAUUGGAGAAGCAUAGAAUUUAAAAUAAACAAAUUUGACCAGGAAAAAUUAACAGUUUCUCGAACUGACAAUGUAUAAUAACUUUUGAAAAAGUAAUAUAACUCCAACUUGGCUGGUUGAAAUGAAGGGGGUCCAAGUGCACAAUAUCUUGUUUCAUCCUAGAAUUACUAAUCAGCAUUAUCAUCAAAUAACUUGAAAAUAAGCUGUUAUGUCACCAUUGUAAAGUGCUAACCUGGUUAUUUUUACAAAGUAAUUGUGCCUUGCCACAAUGACCUAUCUCAUCACCUCAAAGUCUAAAACAAUAAAAUAAUGUUCAAACAUGUGUCCUCAACUUAAAUAAAAGUUUAACAGCACAUUAAAAAUCAACAAGAUUACCUGAUCAGGGGCUCGUUUAAAUGUUAAUGGCAGGAGAUCAUCCCUAAGCUUAAUAUCAUUGUCAUAUCCAAAUUUUCUUAACACCGUCCACGUCGUUUCAAGACGGCCUUUUUCUAUAAAAAGUGCAUGGAGGAAAAGGAACCCAGUCAAAGUAAGCCCAUGCUCAUUAACCCCUUCAGGCAUCUUCUCUUGCACAACUUUCUUGACACCCACAAUUUCAGAAGGCUGGAGAGGAGAGUUAAAGCAUUUAACCUGAACAAAUAUUACAAGGCAUUCAUAGCAAAAGCGGACCAAGGAAAAUAUUCAGCAAGAAACAGUCAACUGGCAAGAAGUCAAAAAAUAUAUAUAUAUAAUCUUAAAGACGAACAAGCAAAUGCAAAUCAUGAUAUAAACCAACCUGAAAUUCAUUCAACUCUGCAUCACUGAGAGCCCCAUCUCUAUCAUGGUCACAGAGAAUGAAUAUCCGUUUCAAAGCCCUCACACAUCGAGGCUUCAAUGAUUGCGUCUCUUGAUCAAAAAGUGGGGCAGUAGGAUGAAGCACUGCCUUCUCAGCAUAAUAGAAAACCUCAGGAACCUGCAGAAAGACAGUGUCGGCAUUCUAGUAACCUCGAUCCACAGGCAUAACUUACAGAAUAAAAAAGAAAUGGGACCAAACAUAACAAAUAAAAUCAUUCACCAAUUAAAGUAUGAUACCUCAACAGAACCACAAACAAAGAUAUCGUUUGAUCAAAAACUGAGCAAGCAUGCUGAAACGAAUUGCUUGAUACUGAGCAAGAAAAGAAUUGCGAACACUAAAGAUAGCAGAUUGUCAAAACAGCAUAAACGAGCAUGUUUUGCUUAAGCGGGGCCUGGCUACACAUAAAGAUUAAUUCUCGACAACGUAUAAAUCACAGAACAUAGCAUUCCUGCCUAUAAUACCACGUCCCUGAUUACAGUUCAUGGGACAGACACGCCAAAUAAACAAAUAGGGACGAUAAAGAAGGGUGGUGCACCUGAAUCUGCCUGAGGGCGGAGCAUUCGAUGCAAGUCUCGAUCUCCCGAAACUGCUGCAUGAUCGGCGACAUGACCUGCUCCAGGCUCAUCUGCUGCUCGUCCCGCAGAUCCAGCUUGCAGCCAACGACGAUCACGGGCACCUUAAUCUGCCCAUCCAAAUCAAGAACAGGAAAUCUAUAAUCUAGCAAGGUUCUUCCGAGAAGAAAACCAGAAACGAGGCUACCCGAUGCACAAGGAAGGCCAACAACCUCAAGGCGGCGGAGCUCCGGGAGCCAGUAGGUGCUGAGGCGGUCAAGAGUGGAGGGUCGGUCACAGGCGUAGGUGAGCACAAUGGCGUCGGCCAUCUGGCACUCGCUGAUCAACUUGGUCUUGUUCUCCGGGCUGCGAGAUCGAGUUUCCGAAAUCAAGAAGCCAAAUUCAGGUCAAGAAACGAGAGGUAAGGGGAUCGAGAAAGCGACCUGGAGGAGGUGUCGAUGAUGGUGACUGGGACGCGAUCGGGGUAGUAGUCGGCCGGGAGGCGGGUUGGGGGCAUGACGUGGGGGACGUUCUCGGGGAAGGUCUCGGUGGCUACGGAGACGAUGAGGCUGGACUUACCCGUGCCGGGGUCGCCGAUGACGACGACGCGGACGCUGGUGCGACCGCCGACGCUCGCGGGGUUGCUCGCCAUGGGAGGAGGGGCACAAGGGGGCGGCGAUCGCCGGCGCCGCGGUAGAAGUGGAGGAGAGGAGGGUUUAAAGAGAGCGGGGCUCGGCCACCAGGGGGUGAGGCGGCGGUGGAUGCCCUAAUUCGUGUGCUUGGGUAAGAAGGAAGGAGGCGAGGCAGGCAGGGGGAGGAAGAAACGACAGAGGUUGGGGGGGAGGGGGGGGAGGGCUCUGAGGACCCGACGUUCGCACGUGCGAAUUAUAAGGUCCAAAGCCGGGAACUUCUAGAAUGUGUUUGAAUUAUUCAUGAGUACUAUAGUUUCCGGUUUGCCCUGUAACUCUCUUUUGUGACAUGGUAGGGGAGAGCGGCGUGUUCAGUAAUUUUGCUGCUUGGAGUUGGAGGAGCCUUAUUCUUAUAUAUUGAUUGAUUGAUAUUGUUCAUGCAUUUUGCCGUAUUUGAGAACAUGUGGUUAAAAAGCAAUAAUCUAAAUUAUUGAAUAUAGUUAUGAUAGGAGCCGUGUUAAAUAUGGUAGCAUUAAUUUUUAGAUAUAUUAUGUGAAGAUUUUGAAUAUUUUUAUGCUGUCCAAAAUAUUUUAUAGUAUUCUUCUAUUUAUUAUUCUGAUCUUCCCAAAGGCAUGCUUUGACUAUAGAUGAAUUUUAAAUUAGGCAUAUUAAACUAUGCUUUGAUGAAAAUCUUGUACGAAAGUAUUGAUUCGUUUUAUGUCUAGAUUUAAUUUAUAAUGAUGACUUUUUCUUUUUUGGCAUAAGAUAAUGAUGACUUUUUGCUAAUCUUGUUAUUAUUGUUGAUGAUGGGAGGACAAAGAAGCGAAAGGAUUCUUAAAAAUUUUUAAAUCACAGGUAAAAAAGUUAAAAAUAAAAAUAUAUAUAUAUAACAAUCAAAGAUCAGUUUGAUAAUCUUAUUUAGGUACCCACAUAUUUUUUUCUGACACCCUCAACAACUAAGAACUAGUUUGGUUGAUGGAAAGUAGAAGAGAGAAGAGGUAGUUCCUGAGAAAUGAAAAAAGAGUCUCUUAUUUGAUUAAAAUUUUAAGAGGAGAGAGAGAGAGAAAAAAGCUCUGGAAAGUCAUUUUCCCCAUUUCAUGAAAAGUCAUUUUUCCCAUGGGGUAGGUGGGUUUUGCACUUCCCAUGGGAUGAAAAGUGGUGGUAUUUUUUUUUCGAAAUAUUAUUUUAAGAUGUACGGCUAAGAUUUUACAAAAUAUCAAUGGAUAGUUAUGAUGAAAUACUGAAUAGUAAUAUAAUAUUAUCUUAAUAUUUAUAUAAUAUAAUAUAAAUAUAAAUAUUAAAAUUAUAAUAUUUAUUAUAUUUUAAUAUUAUUUUAAUAUUUAUCCUAACAUAAUAUUUUUAUUAAUAUUAAUAUAAUACUUAUAUUAAUAUAUUAAUAUUUAUAUUAAUAAAUGUUAUAUUUAAUAUUUAUAUUAAUAAAUGUUAUAUUUAAUAUUUAUAUUAAUAAAUUUAUUAUAUUAAAAAUAUUAAUAUAAUGUUAAUAUAUAUUAGUAUUAUGUUAACAUAAUAAAUUAAUAUAGUUUAAUGUUAUAUUAUAACAUAUUAAUAUUAUAUUUUAUAUUAAUAUAAAUAUAAUAUUUAUAUUUAUAUAAAAUUUAAGAGUAAAAAGGUAUGUAAUCUUAUACCUACUAAGGGUAUCAUAGGUAUUUAUUCAGUUUUUUUAGAAAAAUGGAUGCUCAACCAAACGUAAGCUAUUUUAUAAUUAUCACUUUCUCAUGAUCAACCAAAUAUGCCAAAAUUCUAUUCUCGGGAAGUAAUUUUUCAGAAAGUUAGCUCAUCAGAAGUUACUUUUUGAGAAGAAAAGUUCUUCUCGUGAACCAAACGAGUCCUAAAGAUACAAACGAGCCCGUAUUACAAUAUGUCCUGAUCCACAUAAGUGUUCACACAAGCUAUAUACAAAAUCCACUGAUCUUAUAAAAAAUAUUAAAUAUUAUUUAGAUUUUUUGGUCAAAUACCCAAGAUUUUUUAAGCACACAAGCAAGAUAAAAACCCACAAAUUAUAGAUGAUCUACGUAUAUGCCAAAUAUUAGGUACGAAGUGAAAAUAAUUCCUACUUCCAUCUCCGUGAGAAGUUAAUAUUUUUCCAAAACUCUUAAUAUUUUAUCAAACGGGGUUCUCUAAAUUGAGGGAAGGAAAAGAUUAUCAUCUUUCCAUUUUAUUUUAUUAAAAGAAUCUCACUUUCUCAAAUCAGUAAAAUAUAAUUUCAGAUAAGUAGAUCUUUUACAAAUUUUACAAAAAAUGCAAAGGGGAGCAUAAAGACAAACAAAGAACUAGGAUUAAACAAAUGAUGGUAAGAAUUCUAAUGCUUUUCUUGGUUACAAUGUAACAACUCAACCUAUAAGUAGAAAUACCCAUAUAUGUAUAUGUGAAUGUAGCCUUUGGAAAUGAAUGACUCCAUUAAAUAUUCUAAGUGCUAAAAACUGAUGUGUUUUAGAGACCAGUUUGUAAUACUCUCUUUACCGGACUUACGGAUUUUAAUGAUGCUUUGGUAAUAUUCAAAUUUAUGAAAUCUAAGAUGUAAGAAAUGACCUAGCACUUUCAAAUGUAAAUUGUUUCACCCGGCGAUCAAAACAUGUAGUUCCCAUUGGAACCAAUAAAUCAACUUUUAAUUGUUAAGAUUUUUUUUCUUUUUAAUAAUCAUCUUUAUGCAAUCUACGUAGGGGUACUUUCUUACUUUGAUGUACUGUGUCCAGUUAAUAUCCUCCCUAUUGAGUCAACAGCAAGAUUAACCACCCAAUCCAAUAAAAGCCCGCCCUCCACAAGUAUAUGAGCCAUCUAACGUGCCCACUAACCCCCACAACUAGCUUAUAAACCUUGCCUAUAAAUAGAGGCAGGGGGUGACCAGCCAAGGAAAAGCAAGGAGUGGAAAGAGAGGAAGAGGGAGGAGAUGAGUAUGGGCAUAAGGCUUAAGAUUUUUAUUAGCAUUUUAAGUAACUCUUUCCAUGCCUUUGAAUAGGACGACAUUUAUCAAUAAUGCCAUUUAAUCCAAAAAAAAAGUAAUGCCAAAUUCCUCACAUAACAAAUUCCUUUGGAGCCAUUAUUUUUCAAUAAUGGAUUUUGCAUUACAAAAUUAUUUAUAUACUGAUUUUAAGAAAGGUUGGAUUUGCUUUUUCUCAUGAAACAAUACACAUUUAAACUUUAAAGAUAUUUAUAUAACCUCCAAGAAAAUUUUUUCUCCAUUUGUCUUACCAUAAGAAGUCACUACUUUGCGAAUGUCAUGCACAAAAGAUCAAUCGCUUUCAGGUAUUCGGCCAAUAUUCAACAUAAGUGAUGUAUGAGGUCAAUGGAAUGGAAUUGUAGAUCUAUCAUUACCUUCAAUUGAUGUACUUUCCUGUUUCCAAACUUUCCAUCUCCUCAAGAAAGAGUUUAUAUUUCACAGGAAAUAAUAUGUUUAAAUAGAGACUAAGUUAUGAGCAGCUUAGAGGCUUUUGUAUAAUAAUAUAGAAAUAUACUGCUGCAGAAGUUGCAAGGAAUCUAAUCUUAUAGGCCCACAUUUAGAAGGGAGCUCAUGAACAAUACCAUGUAUUUGUCAAAGUGCAGAUGGAGUAAGCAGGACUGGAGAUACAAGAUGAUCACAAUGAGUCAUCAAGUUAUUUCAUAUACCGUCAGUCAUGUCAAAGUGAUACAGCUGGAGUAUCAUUACGGGACAUGCACCUCCCUCAUAAGAAAACAACGUUACGUUCACACCUUGAAAAGGUAGCCACCAUAACAACUCAUACUUUAUACUAUCCAUUUCACCUAUGUUUUGUCAUUGGUAGAGCCAUUGUGAUCCCUACAGUAGAAGAUAUGGCUUUAUUUGUUUCUGAUUCCUGUUCUCUCAUCAGCUUCUUGGAAAAAAAAAGGCGAUCCUGAUGCGAGUUAUGAUGGUUUGUUUGGUCAAGGAUUAGAUGCAGAUAACUUAGCAUACAUAUCUGCAAUUUCCUUUGCAAAAUAAGCCUUUGCUUGAGGUCUCUUAACCUGGGAACCGAUAAAAAUUUAGAUUACAGUAAAUCUUCUCUCAACUAUAAUUCUUAGAUUAAAUAAAAUUAGGUUAAAGGGACUUACCUUGAAUGUUGGAGUAAGAAGACCAUUUUCCAAAGUGAAUGGUUCUAAUGUCAAAGUAACAGCUUUGGCAAAUUCAAAACCUCUCAGCUGUCACAGUUGGAGUACAAAAUGUCAAGACCACUAACACUCCAGAAAGGUAGACAUAUGUGAGCCAGGAGGUAUGGAGUUACCUGAGCCUGCUUUCCAACAUCAUCCAUCUCGGCAAGGACAGCAGCCUUUGCUCUUGAAUCAGCACAUAGUUCUCUAAGAUCUUCAUACUGCAAAGAAUAUAUAAAAUAGCUAUUUACGAUAUUCAUAGACACAGGAAAUAAAAAUGUGUAUUCCACAGCAGUCUAGGGCUCAUGCACACGAAUGUCAAAGUCAUUUACAGUUCAUAAAUCAAAAUCUAAGUUUAGCUGUUGACUCAGUAGAUACGACGAAUAAUGACCUUCUGGAAAGAAAUGGAUAAUCACUGGUCGUAUAGAUGAAUUGUUAAAUUAUAAAUAAAAAUUUGCAAUUGGCUUGCUGGUGUAUAUAUCAGCUAGGGUUCAAAUAUUAUGUGAAAAAACUAGAAUUAACUAAGAUCCAUAAUUGCAUGUGCAAGAAGUUCCUUUAUCAUCUAGGAAACCUUCCCAUCAUAUGUGACUGGCCAUGAAGCCACUACAAAAGAAUCGAGGAGAUUCAUGUCUGUUUACCAAAAAUGAUCUCAACCCUCUAAAAUUGGUACCAUGAAACCAAGAAGGCCAGUCAGCAGGUAAAAAUUUUUAAUACUUGAAAAGAAUCUUAGACUAGCGGAGGAAAACAAGGCCUCACAUAGGGAAUAAUGUUCAUCUUUAAUGUGCAAAUUAUUGGCAAAAAAGUCAAAUUGAAAAACAAUCCAAAACUCAAGGUAAAAAAGUUUGCCAACAGUUAGUAAUACCUAUGCAAUUAAGCAAUAACACUGUAUAUUAUGGAUGUUAUUGGAAUGACCAUUACUGGGUAUCAAUAUGCAUAAAUUAUGUUACAAAGAAACCAUAAAUGGAACCCUUAAUCUGCAGUCAUGAAUUGAUAGAUGUAUAAAGAAAAGGCAUCCAUACAAUGUGAUGAUUUUGUCAAACAAGUUGCUCAUAGGAAUGUUAUCAUGUAGAAAAUUAGAAAAUUGUCACUGUUUGUCCAAAACAUGGAGGGCAGCAUCCCUAGGCAUACUAUGAAAUUUUAUAGGUUUAAUACUUUGCCACAAAUGCUGUCAUUUACCCUUGAGGCUUGCAAUUAGGUUCAUUUCCAUUGUAUGCCUCCAUAUUUUUUUAUAUUUGUACAUCCACAAAUGCUGACUUUAAUUUUGUGUUUGAAAUUUUGAAUACUUAUAAGAAUCUGUGCUCCAUAUAAUUACCAUUGCUUCCAUGUCUUUCAGUUCCCUUGGAUUAAUGUUGUAGUUUCUACCUUUUCAUUAAAAAUGGUCAUGUUAUCUUCCACAGUGGUUGUAUCUGCAAGAACACAUUCAACAUGAAAUUCAUUUUAAACUUUACAACAUGGGAGAUUUGGAUUUUGACUCCAAAUCUUCUUUCUUCAAACAUUGAUCUGGCUAAUUUUCUAAACACUUUGAUUCCCAGCAAUAUUUUUAUUUUGUUUCAGAUUAAUCCUUCCUAAGAUUAAGUAGAAGCAUGCUCAAUCAAUGAGCAAAAAUGGCAAGCUUAGCACCUUAUAACUUCAAAGAAUCAAUUUUACGGCAUACCAAAAUUUAAUCUUAACAAAAAGCACCUAAAAUGUAGCUUUCAUACCAUUCAGUAGUCCAUCCAUGUGUUCUGAAUUGGGUUGAUAUUACAUAGGGACACGCUCACAUAUAGAAGCUCAAAUACCUUGUACGUGAAGACUUCAAAAUAAAAAUUGAUGAACAGUUUUUCUCUGUUGAUCAUUUAUAGAUCACCUCUUCUCCAGCUAAAGUCUCAUCAUCUCGUCAAUUAUUGAUGACUCACCAGGUCAUUUAUACAAAUAAUAUCCAAAUAACCAUGGAUUAUCUGUUAAUGGUUCAAUUGAUGACUUCUUCAAACAGGAAAUCCAUAAAGUAAGAUUCCUUGGUUUCAUUUUCCUUUACGAGUUAAAAGAAACUUAGAAGAAGAAGAGUUGGCCUUCAAUUAUCAUGGAUUGGUCAAAAUAGAUACAAAUGGAUGCAGCGAGCAGAACAUGUGUGUAAGUAGUGUAUGUUUGUGUGUGAGAGAGAGGACUGCCAUCUUGAUGUACUGUCUAGACUCUAGACAUAGCUCAAAUAUGUGAUUGAUGCAAUAAACCAAAAGGAACCAUGCUACUAAUAGAUGUUGAUUUGAACAAGCGCAAAAUAUCUUCCAUAUAAAAAAAUGGAAACAAAAAAAGAAUUAGAGUAAUAGCUAGUGUAGUAGUAUUCUCCCAUCUCUUCUUGAAUGCAAAAAAGAAGAAGAAGAAGUUGCACUGGUAUUUUAAGCAAUUCCUUAAUGGAAUCAUACUUUGGUGAAUGGAGCUAAAAUAACUAGAUAUUGAACCUCAUGUUCGGAAAUUUAAAACCAUAUACCAUAUCCGAGGGCUUGCUUGGCGUUGCUUUUGUUUUCAAAAACUGAACAAGAAAAAAGAACUGGACUGAACAAUAUGUACAAUGAAACCCUUUCGUUUUUUGAGUUGUUUGUAAAAUAUUUAGAGCAUUUGGUCGCUAAGAUUUAUUGCUUUCAAAAAAGAGUGAAAUAAAAGCAAGGAAUAGCCAAUGUUUUGUGCAAAUGCUAACUUUAACAUCAAUCUCCAUGUGGAAUUUCACUAAUUUGUAGAGAAACAAGCACUAAAAUAACAACAAUAUUAUACAGCCCUGAGUUUGAUCACUUUAGAAGAACAAUCUAGAAAUUUACUGAAGUUGGAUUAUUCAAUUUGCUCAAGCUUUCUUAGAACUCCUUGAAGAUAUCUAUGAUAUUCCAAGUUCAUGCUAUUGAAUGUGCCGUCCCAACUUUUGACAUGUGUAGCGAGUGAUUCAUGUUAUGGUUACAUUCGCAAGGUUUGAACAUCUGUGUUUGAAAAAUGACUAAUAUUUAAGUUUUUAACCAACUCCCACGUGAGUAAACGUGCCUUCUUUCAGAUAAAAUGAUUGAUUAAUUCUGUUCCUAACAUCAGUCCCAACUUUUUAAUGUUGGUAGUCAUAAAAAUUUCUGCAGCAACUCUAACCUCUAUCAAAAAUUUAAAAGAUAAACAGUUCAUAUGUUUUCAUGAAUCACACACCACCACUAAGAAAGUAGCUAAAGAGAAAGAUAACAAUGAAGGAUACAAUAGUAAUGCAAGACGGAAGGAUGUUGAUCACUGAGGACUUAUCGGUGAAUUUAGAAGGGGACAAAGAAGACAGGAAAUCUAUGCUGCUAGCAUGGUGACUGUAAAGUCAAGGCAUUUCAUCAAAAAAUGAAAAUCUGAAACCCUAGUUUGGGGACAUGAGACACUUUUUUUUGAUAACUUACAGAUAUGCCAUCAAAGACAGAGAGUACAUGUUUGGAUUAAAAAAAUUAAAUUAAAUGAGCUAAAUUUCCUGACUUUUAGGGCCUGUUUGGAAGCCUGAUGAUAUUUUCAGCCCGAUAAGAUCUUCUGGUGGGGGUUUUCAGUUGAAGUUGAUGAGGAAAGAGAAGUGAUAAAAAAGAUUUUGUUUGAUUAAGAGAGGCAGCCAGUAUAUGUUAUCCAUAAAACCUAGACUAAUUAGUUCUCAUGAAAACAUGAUUUAGUGUAACGCUGAAAACAAAACAGGAUAAGGGAACCCCACUCUCAAUCUCUCAAAACUCUCGACCAUUGGAGCUUUCCUUUCUCAAUCACUUGGGUGUAGGAAGAAGAUGAGAAUGAAUUAGCCGCUUGAAAAAUCCAAAGAGGCCCUUAAAGAAAGACUUGUUCACAGAACAUUUUAAUUGAUUAGAUCACAACCAUCACAAUAGUUAACAUUAGCCUUUAAAUCCCACUACUAUAAAAAAAUUGUUGCCAAUAAAAAAUUCUACUACCCAAUUCCUCUCAUGCUUAGGGGGUGUGCACUCUAUUUUCACUAAAGGAAAUUUUCAUUGAUGUGCCAAUGUUCAGAACACUAAAUAGGUUGAGAGUCCAUAGUCAUGAAGGAAAGGAUGAAUUCUAUUACAGUAAAUUUAAAGCAGGAGAAAGAAGAUCCACCUUGAUUCCUUCAGAUGCGGCCCAAGCCUUCAAUACAUCUGGCUCAACUGAGACUAUUGCAACCAGACAAGAGUUUAAGCUGUCACCUUUAAAAAUAAACAACAAUUAAUGUGCAUAUAUUGUGAAGCUAUAAAAAAGCUGACAAGAUUCAGAUGGUUACCAUAGACAAAACAUUGAGAAAUGAAGUUGCACUUAGCAUAAACAUUCUCGAUCUUCUCUGGGGCUAUGUACUCGCCCUGGGCCAACUUAAAAAUGUUCUUUUUCCUAUCAUAAUUUCAGAAGUGCAGAUGUAGAGUAUCAAGUAUCAACCAUAAAGUUUGCAUACAGCAUAGUAGCAAACUGAGUAAAGAUAAAGUAGAUAUCAUAUGCAUGAAUACAAGCACAAAAACGAACAAAUAUACACAGGCUCUGCAUGUAGAUAUAAACAAAAGCAUGCAGAUACAUACAAGGAUGUGUACAUAUUUAGCCAUGAAAUAAGAUAACAAAAGAGGAGUUUGAAAAGACGAGUGCUGAAUUUGUAUUUUUAUACAUUAGUACAGAAUUUAAUGUGGAAGCAUCAAUUUUAUAUGCCUAAAUACACCUAUAUAUACAUAAACAACUGCCUUCUGCCACAUAUCUAGUCCCUCACACUCCAUAUGGCAUUAAAACAAAAUGCAAAUAAUUUUUACCUGCUACUGGAAAUGGGUAAAGAAAACAAUGCUUAAGUCAUAUGCAGGAAAAAUAUGUUAAACAAAAUGUCAAAAUGGUAGAAAGGAAGCUUAACGUCAUUGUCCUUUUUUUUUUUAUUCCCAAAUUAACUUUUACAGUUUUCUUAGGUUGUUCAUGGUGACAAAAAUCCACUUAUAGCAGUGAUUUCAUACCCGACUUUAAGUGUUAUAUGAGUAGCACACUACCUUCUUAGUGCUUUAGCCUUUAAGUAAUUAGAAGUUCAGAAUAUUUCUGGACAAGUUUAUGUAAAAUUGGUGGAUUCCAUUUUUAAGAUAAUUAAAAGAUAAAUCUCUUAUUUAAUGGAGCCAGCUCAUAUGUAAACUCGAAUAUGGAUUUGUUAGCUAUUCUCCACCUUUUACUUCCUAUUUCUCUACUUUCUUUCUCUUCAUCUUUCUCCCAUUGUUUUCCUUCCAUAUUCUUUUCUGCUAAGUGCUAACUCUUUUCUGCUAACAGCAGAGAACCCCUCAUCUUUCUUUCUUCUUUAUCUAUUCUUCUUCCAGCCUUCUUUUCUACCAUUUCCCUAUCUCCUAACAUCUUUAAGAAUAAUAUUCAUCGCCUUUCAUUCUUCUUUCUUCACUCAGCUUCAACAGACAACCCUUUCUCCUGUUGCUAACUCCACAUGCACUGCACUGCAGAUGACCGCAAAUUGAUCUCAGCAGAUGCCACAGCAGUUGAAGCGAUCAGCAGAAGUCCAAUUAGAGAUUAGCUAAAGGAGAGACAGACCGGAAUAAUCUGUUGCAUAUAUUGAAGCAGUAAAAAAAUUCUAUGUUAGCUACCAGUAGAGUUUCUUUAUAAUCUUCACCGUGUCUUGAAUGAUUAUGGAAGGUAAACUUUGGUUUUAAAAAAUACCUAGUUUACUUUACAACUUGAAUGAAGAUUUCCUUUUUUUUUUUUUCUUGCUUAUGCAUAUCUAUGGUUUUGUUUGGAGAUAAAAAAUCAUAAGCUUUCACCACUGAGGUCCACAAGUUAGUGGCCUAAUCGACCCAGAUGAAAGCUUCUAUAGCGCCAAUAUCCUGACAAGUGGACGCUCCAAAACCAUUAUCAACCACUACAUGGAAAUAACAACUGUAAUUUGUCCAGUCAAACUUUUGAAUGGAUUUUCUGGGACAAAACAGGGCCUGCCAUAAUGGCUUUCCUUCCAGAAAAAGAAUGGGCAACCCAAUUCAACGUUAUAAUGGCCAUUAUCAGCUGUUAUAAAAUGAAAUAGCACGAUAAUAAGAAAAAUUAUGCCAUUAUUUGUGCAAGACACUAGUUAUUUUUAAAGUAUCUCUUGGAACUAUUUAGCAGUAUAUAUGCUUUUGAACGGUAAAAAUAUGACUAUUUUCAUCUGAUGAAUUAAGUUAAAUGACAGCCAUUUUUUUAUGCUGUAUAAUAACUGUUAUAACGGACAAUGGGUAAAUAACAGAAAUUAUUAAGCUCUCAAAAUUUAUAAGGGGACUGAAACCUACAUAAUGGCUGUUAUAACAGUAUUUUCCAGUGUUACUUUAAGCCAUGCCAUAAACUCAUCCCUGUAAAUCAGACAGUCAUCUCAAACAUGAAUGAAACUUGUUAGGAGGCAUGCAAACUACAAGGAAAUUAUAAAGGAAGCAGUUUGCAUCAGUUUCCUCCUUUUCCUUGUCUGGUGGUGGUUUUUCUUUUUCUUUUCUUUUUCCUAGUUUUAACUUUUUCUCUCUGACUGGCUAUCAAUCUAAUGUCCAGGGUCCAACGACUGCCUUUUGGGUUUGGGCUAGCAUUCAAAGAGGUACCUACACAGUUGAGACCAGAUAUCACAUUUUCAAUAUAAAUACAAUUCCUAAUAAUAGGAUCCAAAAAUGCAGUUAUUAUCAUAAGAAAGAUAUUGACAAACAAGAUGCUAAGAUUACCAAGUUGAGAUAAGUAGACGAAAUCAGCUACAGCUGAUGCAAACUUGGCAUUCAAAUUUAAACUCGAAUGGGGCCACCAUGUGUUGGUAUUAUAGUUCCAAAAAACGAGGUUAAAUUCUGUAGAUAAAGAAUCCUGGUCCCAAUCAAACAAAUUUUUUUUCUUUCAAAGAACAGAAAAAGUAUAAGAAUUGUUGCUUAUUUCAGAACAAUGAAGAAACAUUGGUUAUAGCAAAAUGCUGGACCAUAGGUGAUGCAUCCAAUACCAAAAGUAAUCAGCAACAAUCAUAUUGUUAGAAUCCCGCAAAUCUCAAGCAAAUCUGACUGAAUAAACCAAAAUCAUAUUGAUCUCAUAGAAUCAAGUCAAAAAAGAUAGAAUCAAGCCAAGACCUCGGCAAUCAAGGGUCAACUAUGAUCUCGGCAAACAAGAAAAUCUAUUAAGAAAAUUUGUCACGACCAGCAGUACUAUCUUUGAAUAUUCUCCUCUGAUUUCUCUCCUCUUAUUGUAUAUAUUCUAUAGUUGUUUACUAAUUUUGUACAGCCACACUUACCACUUUUGUAUAGUCAUACUUAUAAUUUUUUGUGACUCAUUGUAUUUAAAUAUUGAUCCAUACUUGGAGGAAAUAACAACAAGAUUAUAUUUUUCCUCAUAGAUUAUAAUUUUUCUCAUGAUAUCAGAGCUCUCGUCUUUGGGCCUUUUCUUCUUCGUUAGCCUUCAUUGCUGAGUUAUCGGUCUUCAUCACCAAUUAUUCCUGAUCACAUGGAAUGCUAUACCAUGCCGAACCGAUCGGUACACCCCGUACCGAGCCGGACCGAUGGGGAAUCGGCACAAUUCGAUCGGUUCAAAUGGUAUACCGAUGGAGGAAGGAAAAGAGAGGAAAAGUGAGAAAGAGAGAGAGAGGGAGGAGAGAGAGGGAGGCGGGAGCCGCUGGAGGCCGGGGGUGGCCCGUUGCGGCCACCGGAGGGCCGCGAAAGCAUCCGCAACUCGUCGAUUCGCCCGAUAGGACUUUGAAACGAGCGAGAAAGAGAGAGAGAAUGGGGGAGAUCAUCGGAGAUAGGAGUGGACGGCAUCGCGGUUGCAGAUGCGGGCUUCGUCGAGAUCGGAGGAGGGUGGCGGAAGCGGCGUGGACGGCGUCGCGGUCAUGGAACAGGGGCUGUUGCCCCUAUUCAUGCGAACCCUUUUUUAAAAAUGAAGAUCAAUAGUGAAGCCGGCAAACCAUUAGACGGCUUCACUGUUUAAAAGAUUUUCUAAAAAAAUUAAAAUCAAUGAAGCCGGCAAACCAUUUGCCGGCUUCACGUAAGUUUUGAUUUUAAAAAAAAAAUCGUGAAACAGGGACGUUGCCCCUGUUUCACUCCUACGGCACCGUGCGCAUGGACUGCGCCGUCCGACGGCCACGACAGCGAGUCGAAGGCCGUCCGACGGCGCCGCCCCCUCCUUCCCCUCCCUCCUUUUCUUUCUUCCUCCCUUUCUCUAUUUCUCUCUCUUUCUCUUUUUCUUCUCUCGAUUCGGGUUCGGUGCCUUCGUCGAUUCGCUGCCGGUUCGGCAUAGUACGGAAUCAUACCAAACUAUAUCGCCAGUCGAUUGAAACAGCCGUCGGUAUCGAGACGGCAAACCUUGCCUGGUCGUGCCUUUAUUGUCGAUUAGAUCUUCCUCGGUUACCUUUACGGCUCUAUCUUUACCAUUCAUGUCUGGUUGUUUCUUCUCUUGAUCUUUUUGUUUCUUUGUUCUUCUACAAAUGUCGGAAACCUCUGAAACCGUGGCCAAUAAUUUUACUGGACCAACUUUUGGAUCUUUACCGAAUGGACCAAAUGGAGAGCUCUAAAACAUGAAUCCUUCCUAUCGACUUGAUGGGAAGAAUUAUCUCCAAUGAUCGCAGAUUAUUAAGAUAUUCCUUAAGAGGAGAGAAAAACUUCAUCAUUUGAACGAGGCUAGACCUAGUGCUGAUGAUCCAAAGUUUCCUACGUGGGAUGAGAAAAACUCAAUGAUCAUGUCCUGGCUAUGGAAUUCAAUGCAACCCAAUAUCAGUAAGAACUGUAUGUUUCUUUCUACUGCUAGAGAUAUAUGAAAAAUGGUUCGUCAAACAUACUCCAAGAUGUAGGAUGCCACUAUAAUCUAUGAGAUCAAGACGAAGAUUUCAAUCACCAAGCAAAGCACUCUUUCGAUUACGGAAUAUUAUAACCUGAUGAAUGGUUUUUAGCUUGAAUUAGACCAUUAUCAAGAUAUUAAGAUGCUAUGCAGUGAGGAUACCAAAGCCCUUUUGAGUUUGGUGAAAUGGGAUUUGAUUUUUGAAUUUCUUGGAGGACUUAAUGCAGAGUUUGAUCAAGUUAGGAUUCAGAUUCUUGGAAAAAAAUGGCUGCCGUUACUGAAUGAAGUAUUCUUCAUCAUAUAUGCUGAGGAAAGUCGGUGGACUGUCAUGCUGGAAUCACAGAUUUCCAAAAGCUCAGCUAUGGUCUCUGUGAAGGUUGCAGAUGAAAGAAGUUUAAUAACUUUAGGAAAGGGUAAGGUGACAGAACCACUGAUAAUCAUUCCUCUAAACAGUCCAAUCGAGAUGGGCUCUGGUAUACCUAUUGUAAAAAGCCCCAGCAUACAAAAGAAAUCUGUUUUAAGCUUCAUGGAAAAGCACAAGUCCCUAGUCGAAAUGGAGGAUUUAAAGGAUGGUAGAGAAGUCAGGCCAACUUCACAAACAAGGAAGAUACCUCUCAAGAAAAAUCAAUCCCUGAUGGUGAUGAAUUCAGAGAAUUCAACAAGAGAUUGAAAAACUAUGAGAUUUUCUUAAAUCCCUCUCUAAUUCAUCUAGCUCAUGUUCAUUGGCUCAAUCUGGUAAGUGCCUUGUUUUUAAAACCUUUAAUGCUGACAACUCCACCCACUUUAACUCUUGGGUCAUAAACUCUGGAGCCACCGAUCAUAUGACACAUAACUCCACUAAAUUUGAAACUUAUAAACCAUGUCCAGGGAAUAAAAAAACUACUGUUGCUGAUGGUUCUCCUAUAACCAUUGCGGAUCAGGACACCAUAAAUUUGACUCCUUCGCUCUAUAAAAUAUGCUACAUAUUUCUAAACUAUCCACCAAUCUUGUUUUCAUUCAUCAACUUGCUAAAGACUUAAAUUGUCAGACAAUCCUUUUUCCCACUCAUUGUGUCUUUCAGGAUCAGGUUACAGGGAGGAUGAUUGGAUUUGCUAAAGAAUGGAAUAGGCUCUACUAUCUUGAAGAAGUCAGUAGUUCUAUGGAUAAAGGUACUCGAUUAACCCUCUCCUACUCUUCGUGAAGUACUUCUUCAAUUAAUUCUGGCUCCUCAAAGAAAUCUAAAAUUUGGCUUCACUAUUUUCAUCUCGGCCAUCCACCUUUUCAGCUACUCAAAAUCAUGUUUUCUUUGCUUUUCAAAAAUAUUGCUGUGGAAAGUUUUCAUUGUGACACUUGUGAAAUUGUUAAACACCAUCGUGUGUCAUUUCUUUUGAGUAAUACAAAGUCCUUUCAACCUUUUUUCUUAGUGCAUACUAACGUUUGGGGCCCAUCUAAAAUUCCUAACUUCACCAGGGAUAAGUGGUUUAUGUCUUUUAUCAAUGACUGCACUAGAACUACAUGGCUAUAUUUAAUAAAGAAGUCUGAAGUAAGCAAUAUCUUUCCCAUUUUUUACAACAUGAUAAAAACUCAGUUUGGAAUUUUUGUAAAAUGAGUUAGAUCUAAUAAUGCAAGGGAUUAUUUUAAUCACAUUUUUUACUUUCUUUAAGAAAGAAAAAAUUAUCCAUGAGUCUUCUUGUGUUGACACACCCCAACAAAAUGGGAUAACUGAGCGAAAAAAUAAACACUUACUCAAUGUUACCCAAACACUUCUGUUUCAAUCCAAUGUUCCAAAAAGAUUUUAGGGAGAGGCAGUCCAAACAGCAGCUUACUUGAUAGAUAGGAUACCCUCUAGCCUCCUAAGCAAUAAAGGUCCUAUUCAGGUAUUGUCAGAAUUUCAUCCUGAAUUUCAUUUUUUCAAUAACCUACCACUUAGAGCAAGGUUUGCCAUACUGUGCCGAACCGGCCGGUACACCCCGUAUCGUACCGAACCGACGAAGAACCGGCACGAUUUGAUCGGUAAAUUUGGUACACCGACGGUAUGGAAGGAAAAAAGAGAAAAGUGAGAAAGAGAGAGAAAGAGGAGGGAGGUAGGAGCCGCCAGAGGCCGACGGUGGCCGACUACGGUCGUCUGAGGGCUUCCGAGCUUCGUAUCGUCUGAUAGAGCUUUCAAGAGAGGGAGAAAGAGAGAGAGAGUGCUCGGGGAGAGAAACCUAUCGGACGGACGGUACCUUCAUCGUGAGGCCCUCGAUGGCCGAUGAGCCGACAUCGAUGGCCUGAGGGCGGUCGAGCGGGCGAAGCCCCUCCACGGCUCCAUCCCCUUCUUUUUUUCGAAACAGACGGUCGUCUGUUUCAGUUUUUCUUUUUUUUUUGGUUUUAAACUUAUGAAGUCGGCAACUGCCGACUUAAGAAAUUUUUUUAAAAAAAGACAAAAAUCGUGAAGCCGACAAACUAUUUGCCGACUUCACUUAAAACUAUAUUUUUUAAAGAAC
rnacentral:lncRNA from 1 species